UUUUUUAUUUUUUAUUAUUUGGCCUUUUUUAUUUUUUAAUAUUUGGCCUUUCUUUUUUCCCCUAUUUUUGGGACAAUGCUCUAUUAAUGAUGAUCAUCACACUUCUAUUUAUUUACAACUCGAUACUAGAACAAAGUAUGACUAAAUAUGAAUGCCUCCGGUGGUUGAUAUGUCUCCAACGUAUCUAUAAUUUUUGAUUGCUCCAUGCUAUAUUAUCUACUGUUUUGGACAUCACUGGGCUUUAUUAUCCACUUUUAUAUUAUUUUUGGGACUAACCUACUAACCGGAGGCCCAACCCAGAAUUGCUGUUUUUUUGCCUAUUUUAGGGUUUCGAAGAAAAGGAAUAUCAAACGGAGUCCAAACGGAAUGAAAGCUUCGGGAACAUGAUUUUCUCAACGAACAAGACCCAGGAGACUUGGACCCUACGUCAAGACACAAAAGAGGAGGCCACGAGGUAGGGGGCGCGCCUACGCCCCCCCCCCCCAGGCGCGCCCUCCACCCUCGUGGGCCCCCUGUUGCUCCACCGAUGUACUCCUUCCUCCUAUAUAUACCAACGUACCCCCAAAUGAUCAGAUACGGAGCCAAAACCCUAAUUCCACCACCGUAACUUUCUGUAUCCACGAGAUCACAUCUUGGGGCCUGUUCCGGAGCUCCACCGGAGGGGGCAUCGAUCACGGAGGGCUUGUACAUCAUCACCAUAGCCCCUCCGAUAAAGUGGAAGUAGUUCACCUCAGACCUACGGGUCCAUAGUUAUUAGCUAGAUGGCUUCUUCUCUUUUUUUUUGGAUCUCAAUACAAUGUUCUCCCCCUCUCUUGUGGAGAACUAUUCGAUGUAAUCUUCUUUUUGUGGUGUGUUUGUUGAGAUUGAUGAUUGUGGGUUUAUGAUCAAGUCUAUCUAUGAACAAUAUUUGAAUCUUCUCUGAAUUCUUUUAUGUAUGAUUGGUUAUCUUUGCAAGUCUCUUUGAAUUAUCAGUUUGGUUUGGCCUACUAGAUUGAUCUUUCUUGCAAUGGGAGAAGUGCUUAGCUUUGGGUUCAAUCUUGCGGUGUCCUUUCCCAGUGACAGUAGGGGCAGCAAGGCACGUAUUGUAUUGUUUCCAUCGAGGAUAACAAGAUGGGGUUUUCAUCAUAUUGCAUGAUUUUAUCCCUCUACAUCAUGUCAUCUUGCUUAAGGCGUUACUCUGUUUUCAUUAACUUAAUACUCUAGAUGCAUGUUGGAUAGCGGUCGAUGAGUGGAGUAAUAGUAGUAGAUGCAGGCAGGAGUCGGUCUACCUGUCUCGGACGUGAUGCCUAUACACAUGAUUGUGCCUAGAUAUUCUCAUAACUAUGCUCAAUUCUGUCAAUUGCUCAAUAGUAAUUUGUUCACCCACCGUAGAAUACUUAUGCUCUUGAGAGAAGCCACUAGUGAAACCUAUGGCCCCCGGGUCUAUCAUCAUCAUAUUAAUCUUCCAACACUUAGUUAUUUACUUUGCCUUUUUACUUUUCUUUUAUUUUACUUUGCAUCUUUAUCAUAAAAAUACCAAAAAUAUUAUCUUAUCAUAUCUAUCAGAUCUCACUCUCGUAAGUGGCCGUGUAGCGAUUGACAACCCCUUAUCGCGUUGGUUACGAGGAUUUAUUUGUUUUGUGCAGGUACAAGGGACUCGCGCGUAGCCUCCUACUGGAUUGAUACCUUGGUUCUCAAAAACUAAGGCAAAUACUUACGCUACUCUGCUGCAUCACCCUUCCUCUUCGGGGAAAAACCAACGCAGUGCUCAAGAGGUAUCAAGAAGGAUUUCUGGCGUCGUUGCCGGGGAGUCUACGCAAAAGUCAAUAUACCAAGUACCCAUCACAAUCCCUAUCUCCCGCAUUACAUUAUUUGCCAUUUGCCUCUCGUUUUCCUCUCCCCCACUUCACCCUUUCCAUUUUAUUCGCCUCUCUCUCUAUCCUACCUCUCUUUUUCCGUUCACUUUUUUUCCGCUUGCUUUUUGUUUGCUUGUGUGUUGGGUUGCUUGCUUGUCGCGAUGGCUCAAGAUAACACUAAAUUGUGUGACUUUACCAAUACCAACAACAAUGAUUUUAUUAGCACUCCGAUAUUUCAUCUUACCGAUGCUGAAUCUUGUGAAAUUAAUACUGCUUUGCUAAAUCUUGUCAUGAAAAAUCCGUUUUCCGGCCUUCCUAGUGAAGAUGCCGCUACCAAUCUAAACAGCUUCGUUGAUUUGUGUGAUAUGCAAAAGAAGAAAGAUGUGGAUAACGAUAUUGUUAAAUUGAAGCUAUUUCCUUUUUCGCUUAGAGAUCGUGCUAAAGCUUGGAUUUCGUCUUUGCCUAAGAAUAGUAUUGAUUCAUGGAAUAAGUGCAAAGAUGCUUUUAUCUCUAAGUAUUUUCCUCCCGCUAAGAUCAUCUCCCUUAGAAACGAUAUUAUGAAUUUUAAGCAACUUGAUCAUGAAUAUAUUUCACAAGCUUGGGAGAGGAUGAAAUUAAUGACACAUAAUUGCCCUACUCAUGGUUUGAAUUUGUGGAUGAUUAUACAAAAAUUUUAUGCCAGAUUGAAUUUUGCUUCUAGAAAUCUUUUAGAUUCGGCCGCGGCAGGGACUUUUAUGGAAAUCACUUUAGGAGAAGCUACUAAACUCCUAGACAAUAUUAUGGUUAACUAUUCUCAAUGGCAUACUGAAAGAUCUACUAAUAAAAAGGUGCAUGCAAUAGACGAAAUUAAUGUUUUGAGUGGAAAGAUGGAUGAACUUAUGAAAUUAUUUGCUAGUAAAAGUGUUUCUUCUGAUCCUAAUGAUAUGCCCUUGUCUACUUGAUUGAGAAUAAUAAUGAAUCUAUGGAUGUGAAUUUUGUUGGUAGGAACAAUUUUGGUAACAACGCGUAUAGAGGAAAUUUUAAUCCUAGGCCUUAUCCUAGUAACCCCUCCAAUAAUUAUGGUAAUUCCUACAACAAUUCUUAUGGAAAUUAUAAUAAGACGCCCUCUGAUUUUGAAUCUAAUAUUAAAGAAUUUAUUACUUCGCAAAAGAAUUUCAAUGCUUUGAUUGAAGAAAAAUUGCUUAAGAUUGAUGAGUUGGCUAUGAACGUUGAUAGAAUUUCUCUUGAUGUUGAUUCUUUGAAACUUAGAUCUAUUCCACCAAAGCAUGAUAUCAAUGAGUCUCUCAAAGCCAUGAGAAUUUCCAUUGAUGAGUGCAAAGAAAGAACCGCUAGAAUGCGUGCUAAGAAAGAUGCCUUUAUAAGAGCGUGUUCUUCUAGUUCCGAUGAAAAUAAAGAUGAAGAUCUCAAAGUUAUUGAUGUGUCCCCUAUUAAAUCUUUGUUUUGCAAUAUGAAUCUUAAUAAUUAUGGGACUGAAUAUGAUCCACCAUUAUCUAGAAGGCGUUCCAAGAAUUCGGAGUCUUUAGAUCUUAAUGCUAAAAUUGAUGAAAGUGGGAUCGAAGAAAUCAAAACCCUAGAUGUUGCUAAACCCACUAUUUUUGAUUUCAAGGAAUUUAAUUAUGAAAAUUGCUCUUUAAUUGAAUGUAUUUCCUUGCUGCAAUCCGUGCUAAAUUCUCCUCAUGCUUAUAGUCAAAAUAAAGCAUUCACUAAACAUAUCGUUGAUGCCUUGAUGCAUUCUUAUGAAGAAAAACUUGAAUUGGAAGUUUCUAUCCCUAGAAAACUUUAUGAUGAGUGGGAACCAACUAUUAAAAUUAAAAUUAAAGAUCAUGAGUUCUAUGCUUUAUGUGAUUUUGGUGCUAGUGUUUCCACGAUUCCAAAGACUUUGUGUGAUUUGUUAGGUUUCCGUGAUUUUGAUGAUUGCCCUCUAAACUUGCACCUUGCGGAUUCCACUAUUAAGACACCCAUGGGAAGAAUUAAUGAUGUUCUUAUUGUUGCAAAUAGGAAUUAUGUGCCCAUAGAUUUUAUUGUUCUUGACAUAGAUUGCAAUCCUUCAUGUCCAAUUAUUCUUGGUAGACCUUUCCUUAGAACGAUUGGUGCAAUUAUUGAUAUGAAGGAAGGAAAUAUUAUAUUCCAAUUUCCGUUAAGGAAAGGCAUGGAACACUUUCCUAGAAAUAAAAUUAAAUUACCUUAUGAAUCUAUUAUGAGAGACACUUAUGGAUUGCCUACUGUCAGUGUCAAAACCGGCGGAUCUCGGGUAGGGGGUCCCGAACUGUGCGUCUAGGCGGAUGGUAACAGGAGGCAGGGGCCACGAUGUUUUACCCAGGUUCGGGCCCUCUUGAUGGAGGUAAAACCCUACGUCCUUCUUGAUUAAUAUUGAUGAUAUGGGUAGUACAAGAGUAAAUCUACCACGAGAUCAAGGAGGCUAAACCCUAGAAGCUAGCCUAUGGUAUGAUUGUUCUUCGUCCUACGGACUAAAACUGAAGGAAAUAUGCCCUAGAGGAAAUAAUAAAGUUAUUAUUUAUUUCGUUAUAUCAUGAUAAAUGUUUAUUAUUCAUGCUAGAAUUGUAUUAACCGGAAACAUAAUACAUGUGUGAAUACAUAGACAAACAUAGUGUCACUAGUAUGCCUCUACUUGACUAGCUCGUUAAUCAAAGAUGGUUAUGUUUCCUAACCAUGAACAAAGUGUUGUUAUUUGAUUAACGAGGUCACAUCAUUAGUUGAAUGAUCUGAUUGACAUGACCCAUUCCAUUAGCUUAGCACCCGAUCGUUUAGUAUGUUGCUAUUGCUUUCUUCAUGACAUAUACAUGUUCCUAUGACUAUGAGAUUAUGCAACUCCCGUUUGCCGGAGGAACACUUUGUGUGCUACCAAACGUCACAACGUAAAUGGGUGAUUAUAAAGGAGCUCUACAGGUGUCUCCAAUGGUAGAUGUUGGGUUGGCGUAUUUCGAGAUUAGGAUUUGUCACUCCGAUUGUCGGAGAGGUAUCUCUGGGCCCUCUCGGUAAUGCACAUCACUUAAGCCUUGCAAGCAUUGCAACUAAAUGAGUUAGUUGCGGGAUGGUGUAUUACGGAACGAGUAAAGAGACUUGCCGGCAACGAGAUUGAACUAGGUAUGGGAAUACCGAUGAUUGAAUCUCGGGCAAGUAACAUACCGAUGACAAAGGGAACAACGUAUGUUGUUAUGCGGUCUGACCGAUAAAGAUCUCCGUAGAAUAUGUAGGAGCCAAUAUGGGCAUCCAGGUCCCGCUGUUGGUUAUUGACCGGAGACGUGUCUCGGUCAUGUCUACAUUGUUCUCGAACCCGUAGGGUCCGCACGCUUAAGAUUACGAUGACAGUUAUAUUAUGAGUUUAUGCAUUUUGAUGUACCGAAGGUUGUUCGGAGUCCCGGAUGUGAUCACGGACAUGAUGAGGAGUCUCGAAAUGGUCGAGACGUAAAGAUUGAUAUAUUGGAAGUCUAUGUUUGGAUAUCGGAAGUGUUCCGGGUGAAAUCGGGAUUUUACCGGAGUACUGAGAGGUUACCGGAACCCCCUCGGGAGCUAUAUGGGCCUUUGUGGGCUUUAGUGGAAAGGAGAAAGGGGCAGCCCAAGGUGGCUGUGCGCCUCCUCCCUUCCCCUAGUCCUAUUAGGACUAGGAUAGGUGGCCGGCCCCCUCUCUCUCUUUCCCCCCUCAAGGAAUCCUAUUCCAACUAGGAUUGGGGGGGGGGGGGAAUCCUACUCCCAGAGGGAGUAGGACUCUCCUGGCACGCCAAGCUUGGCCGGCCAGCCUCCCCCCUCUAGUCCUUUAUAUACUGAGGUAGAGGCACCCUAGAACACACAAUUGAUCAACGUGAUCUAUUCCUUAGCCGUGUGCGGUGCUCCCAGCCACCAUAUUCCUCGAUUAUACUGUAGCGGAGUUUAGGCGAAGCCCUGCUGCUGUAGUGCAUCAAGAUCGUCACCACGCCGUUGUGCUGACGGAACUCUUCCCCGACACUUUGCUGGAUCGGAGUCCGGGGAUCGUCAUCGAGCUGAAUGUGUGCUCGAACUCGGAGGUGCCGUAGUUUCGGUGCUUGAUCGGUCGGAUCGGGAAGAUGUACGACUACUUCCUCUAUGUUGCGUCAAUGCUUCCGCAGUCGGUCUGCGUGGGUACGUAGACAACACUCUCCCCUCUCGUUGCUAUGCAUCACAUGAUCUUGCGUGAGCGUAGGAAUUUUUUUGAAAUUACUACGAAACCCAACAAAAACCCUNNNNNNNNNNNNNNNNNNNNNNNNNNNNNNNNNNNNNNNNNNNNNNNNNNNNNNNNNNNNNNNNNNNNNNNNNNNNNNNNNNNNNNNNNNNNNNNNNNNNNNNNNNNNNNNNNNNNNNNNNNNNNNNNNNNNNNNNNNNNNNNNNNNNNNNNNNNNNNNNNNNNNNNNNNNNNNNNNNNNNNNNNNNNNNNNNNNNNNNNNNNNNNNNNNNNNNNAGAGUCGGUUACAAUGGUAGAAGAUCUACAUAUCCGUAUCGCCAAGCUUGCCUUCCACGCCAAGGAAAGUCCCUUCUGGACACAGGAUGAAGUCUUCAACCUUGUAUCUUCAUAGUCUAGGAGUCUGGCCGAAGGUAUAGUCCGGCUAUCCGGACACCCCCUAAUCCAGGACUCCCUCAGUAGCCCCUGAACCAGGCUUCAAUGACGACGAGUCCGGCGCGCAGAUUGUCUUCGGCAUUGCAAGGCGGGUUCCUCCUCCAAGUACUUCAUAGAAUAUUUUGAACACAAAGGUAGUGUCCGGCUCUGCAAAAUAAGUUUCCACAUAUUGCCAUAGAGAGAAUAAUAUUUACACAAAUCUAAUCUACUGACGUAUUCCGUAGCGUGACAUCACACCACGGCCAAGUUUUUAUUCGAAUCUGUCCCACCUCAACGCGUUUAGUGAGGCGGUUUCCUUGGCACAUCUUGUCAAAGCAGAGAUUGUGUCCCCUUAUUCCGGGAUUCUCAUCAAUACGGGCGUGGGUAACCCAACCGUACCCGUCGGUAUGUUUCCUCGAUCAAAGGAGAGUCCCAAACGGUCACGGGAAGGGCCCUUGGUAUUCAACCUCUUAUAAAGAGACCAAGGCCUUACUCCUUUCUUUCAAUCUCAAAUGAGUUCGCCCUUCGCCUCUACUUCCAACACCCAAGGCUCUAGAUUUCAGGCGCUUCGGACCUUCGACAAUGUCCGGUUCCGACCUUCGAGGCCGAUGGAUGCCCUCCUCCGUCACGGAGGAGGACGUGCUGAAGUUGAGAGAGGCCAGGUUCUUGACCGGCGAAAUCUCGCAUAGGCUGCCUGCUCAAGGGCAGGUCAUUCCCACUCCCAAGCCUGGUGAGAGUGUGGUGUUCAUGUCUCACUUCCUUCGGGGGUUAGGCUUCCCGACGAUCCCUACGUGAGGGGGCUCAUGUUUUAUUAUGGGCUGGAAUUUCAUGACUUAGCUCCGGAGUCCAUCCUCCAUAUUUCUUCAUUCAGCGUCGUGUGUGAAGCCUUCCUCCAUAUUACUCCUCACUUUGGACUAUGGCUCAAGACCUUCAAAGUAGAGCCGAAGAUGAUCGAGGGAUGGCACGCGGAGUGCGGAGGUGCUUUUAUAAGCAAGAAUGCUGGUGCUCCAUGGCCCGAGGGCUCUUUUCAAGGGGAGUCCAGCUUACGGCAACGAGAGUGGUUUUAUAUCACAGCUCCCAGGAGCACCAAGUGGGUGGCGCUGCCUGCUUUUCGCUCGGGUCCCCCGCCACGACUGGCGUCAUGGGUCAACAAGGGGCUGGACUGGGGGCCGGCAAAGGACGUGCCCCUGUUGCAGGGCCGCAUCCGAGAUCUCCUAGAAAGAGACAUCAGUCUGGUCGUGGUGACGCAGGUUAUGUUAAUUCGCCGAGUUCUGCACUGCAAACGUCGGCCCCUUCGGUUGUGGAAGUUCAACCCGGAGGGACCACGAGUUCUCCAACAUUUUCUUGGCAUGACGCCCAUGGAUAUGUACAAAUUAUUCUUUGGACCACAAGUAGUGUGUCUGGAUUCUACGGAGGACGCAGGUCUGAGCUGCAAUCGUCCAGAUACUCAAGUAAGUAGCCUUGUGCCCGGACUUGCUAUCCAUAUAUUUAUCAUAAAGUUUCCCCUAAAAGAGUUGUCCUUUAAAUAGGAGUGGAUAGCGAAAGCAAAGCUAAUCAGAUGUCCGGCCCCCCUCCCCGAGACCAUGCCGGGUCCCAUGCUAGUCAAGAUGUUGGAGGUUGUGCCUUCAAAGGAAAGAGAGGGAGGGGACAAGGAAGCUACCGCCUCCUCGAAGGAGGUUGUCCAGAAGGGAGGAAUCGAAAAUUCCUCUCCUCAGGGGAAGAAGAGGACCGCCUCUGAAGACCCGGAGACCAUGGCCUCAAAGCGGGGGAAGAAAUCUUCGCUAGAGGGUCCUGUGCUGGGGGAUACUUCGGCCGAAUUAUGCCCUCAAGGGGAUCAGCCCUCCAUCGAGCCGUAAGUAGAGAGGAGUUUUAUUUUUAAGAAACGAGAGAAAUCCUUGCUUUAUAUCUGAGAAAAGUAAUCGAAAAUUUACCUUGUAGCUCGGACCUUAGCUCUUCUCAGCAGAGCUCGUCUUCGGGGGAUCUUCUUCCGGAGAUGAUGGAGAGCGGAAUGCCUCCCCCUGCCGUAUCACCUCGCGAGGUGGGCGACCCCGAGGUAUUGUCGCGGAGGGUUUCUCCGAAUCCGGCAGGGCCGGAAGGCAGUCAUAUGGCCCCCCAAAGUCCUCCUUGUCCGGCCUUCUAAAAGGGCCAUCGGACGAGUCCGGCGUCGUCUGGUGCGUGGUCGGAGGAGCUGAAGGAUCUGCUAGGGAGAGCAUCUAUCUCAGAGGAGCACCGUGCAUUGAUGGGUACGGUGAUUGAGAGGAUUUCAUCCACGGAGAGCGGAUUGCACGAGGCCGUCAGGAGUGUACUGACAGGUUUUGAGGUACGCGAAAUAAUGUACCCUUUUUGGACAGUUGCACAUAAAUAAGAUGCGACCUGUGUAGAUAGUAGCCCCUGAGACUCUGUGCAUUGUCAAAAGUGACGGUGCGCAGAGGAUCAUAAUCCCAGGUCUAAUAUGCCGCCUUCAUACGUAGGUGGCUAAGUGUCCGGUGGCAAGCCGGACUGAUGAAUUUGCCGAGCUAAAGCGGCAACUUGACGUGGCAGAUGCCGACAUCGCGCUUGUCAACAAGCGGCUUGACGAGGCGCAAGGUAUGUAAUUCCUCCGGCGGCUCCUGGUAAGAGGAGCUUUAUGCUAGUAUCUUACAAUGUGUGCGCUUGAUGCAGAUGGUGCGGCCGCCAUGGAGAAUCUUCGGGCAGAACUUGCCCGAGCCAAGGAGCAAUCCAGGAAAAGUGAUGCGGCUGCCGGAAUGGCAAUUGAAGAGCUGAAAGCCGAACAGGCUGCUCACUGCCAAAGCAAGAAGGAAAUGGCCGAGAUGGCCGUGAAGCUGAAGAACGCUGCUGACCGUUGCAAGCUUCUUGAAAAAUAAGAUCGGGCAAAACAAACGGACCUGGAGAAGGCCGUUGCCGAUGCCAAGGAUGCUCGCUCUGCGAUGAGAGCUGUGAAGGAGGAGCUGCGUCAGGCCGGAGAGAUCGCGACUGGAAAGCCCUUUAUGCUGCAGAGGAAGUUCCGUGAUCCUAAACAUGCUCCGUUGGACUGGAUGUGGAGUACGACGGACACCUAUAUGGAUUUGGCAGCGGCCGCGGAUGCGGCCGAACACUUCCGAGAUCAAGAAGAUCGCGAAGUGGAAAAGCUCUUUUGGUUGCAGUUCCACAAUCCGGAGCGUCCGCUGUCAUGAGCCGAUCAUUUGGCCGAAUGGGCCGAGCUAAAUAGGUUGUCCGGACUUGCCAUGAAGUAUGUCAUGAGUCAUCUGUGGCCAGAGAGGCCAGAGCCGAAAAGUUAUUUCAACUUGGUGCAGCAGUUCCUUGGUGCGGCGCCACAUAUCAAUGCGAUGAAGAGGUCAGCGUGCAUAGAGGGUGCGCGGAUGACUCUUGCCCGUGUCAAGACAUACUGGGCAGAAAUGGAGGCCGCCGCUGUUGCAUCCCCAGACUCGGAUGGAAGUCGAGUACCUGCCGAGCACUAUUUUCAGGAAGUUCUGCAAGGCGCUCGUUUAAUAGAGACGUAGUGCUCGAAGGACACUAUAUUCGAGUAGCAUUAUUGUAAUACAAUAUUUUGAUAAAUUGUAGAAGCUUUUUAUACUUGUGCCUGCAAGUAUUAUAAUACCUCCUGUGCGGCCGUUUAACAUAUAUGUUUAUACAAUCUGAAUGAUGGCAGUCGUCGGCUUCAGCCCCCACGCACAUAAUGCGGGGGUGUUCGCAGAAGGCGCAUUUUCACACUUGAUCCAACGUCUUGGUCCUACAAAGGAGGUGAUAGCGCAGCGAACUAGGCAAUCAUACUAUGAUGCUUUAUCACUUUCACUUAGCCAUAGGAGUUUGAUAGUGAGGCUACUUAUAUAGCCCCUGGUGGCGCCUGCGCUCGCCCGAACUCGGGGCGCGUAUGUGCCUGGCCGGGAAGCGAACCUUCGUUAAUGCGGAGGAAUCCUAAAGAUUCUGGUAAGUCAUCGAGUGGUUGACCAGUCUCACGCUAUAUCAUGACAGUCAGUUUUUGACUUUCUCUACUGAGGUGCUCGCCUCGCUGAACCGGGGCACAAUCGCAGUAGUUCUCCUGGUGCCACCUUAGCCGAUAGAGCGAAAUGUAAGGUAGCAAAACACAGGAGCCGGGCAAACCCAACAUUUGACCAAAGACAUGAUUCGGAGCUGAUGCAUAUAAGGACAAACUCGCGACGCCGAACACUCCCUAAGGUAUUUGGUCUUUAUGAGGGCGGGCGGGAUAACGCCCUUAGUAAUAAGCCCCUAGUGUCCAGGUACGUGCAAAAACUCUGACAUGGCCACAUGCCAAAAUGCCAGCCUCCUCCUUGGUUAUACCAAGAAACCAGGGGAUGUGUAUCAACAAGAGACAGUAAAAAAGGUUUACGCAGGGUCUUAAUCUGAAAAGAAUCCUUGGAACGGGUCCCUGCUGCACGUCUACGCCUGUGUCUCCGUUGUGCCGUAUCCUGGACGGGCGUAGCACGGUGUUCAUCUGUAAAAGGGAGGAACUUAGUUACAUAAAGAUCGUGCCGAACAUGAGUUAUACUAAAUAAAUGAAGUAUAAAUCGAAAUGGGUAAAAUUGAGCUUUAUUGUCUCUUGUUUUAUAUGCGCGGAGCCCCUAGUACAGGGGCAUACGGCUAUUAAGCCUUUAUAAAUUGUAUGUUUAUGCCGGACUCGUCUAGCCGUGUCCGUUGUCUUGAUGACUUGUUUACGUGCUUUGGUUGGUGAAGCCGCUUUAUUGUGGGGCUGUCAAGGCAGCCACACUGUCUUCCGCGUGGGGGGAACACUCAAUGUUUUCCCUUUAAUGAGAUGAUGCCUCGUGGACCGGGCAUCUUAAGCGUGAGAUAUGCAUAAUGCGGUAUUGCGUUAAAGCGGGUGAAAGCUUUGCGUCCCAGUAGUGCUUGAUAGCUACUUGAGAAUGGGGCGAUGUGGAAAGUUAGCUGUUCGUGACGGAAGUUAUCGGGGGAGCCGAACAUAACUUCUAGCCGGAGAGAACCCAUGCAACGGGCAUCCGGGCCUGGCGUUACCCCUUGAAAGGAGGUUUUGCUAUGGCGAAUUUUUGUUGGGUCUAUCCCCAUGUUGCGGAUUGUGUCCUGGUAUAACAGGUUUAGACCACUUCCGCCGUCCAUCAGGACAUUUGUAAAGUGGAGUCCGCCGAUUAUUGGAUCUAAUACCAAGGGGAGACCAUAAAUGCCUUCAUCAAUGAAACCAUAGAUCUGUCAAUUUGCUGUCUCUGUCUGGAGCGGCGCUUACGUCGCCGCUUUGAUUGCUUUCCCCUAAUCCACAACUCUCAAUGAAACCGACGUCCCCGUGCGUCCAAAGAUGGUGAUACCUAAAUCUAUCCUUACUUUUCAUGCCUAGCUAGGGGGCGUUAAACGAUAGCGCUUGUUGGGAGGCAACCCAAUUUUAUUUUUAUUCCUUACUUUUUGCUCCUGUUUAUUAAUAAAUAAUUUAUCUAGCCUUUGUUUAGAUAGUGUUUUUUGUGUUUAAUUAGUGUUUGUGCCAAGUAGAACCGUUGGGAAUAAUUGGGGAAAGUCUUGAUAUCUUGCUGUAAAAAACAGAAACUUUAGCGCUCACGAGAACUGCUGCCAUUUUUAUUUGGAAAGUGAUAUAUAGUUAAUUCUUUUUGCAGAUGAUUAAUAAAUAUAUUCCUCCAUCCAUAAAUUUAUUUUAGAAUUUUUGGGGUUCCAGAUCUUGCGCUAGCUUCAGAUUACUACAGACUGUUCUGGUUUUGACAGAUUCUGUUUUUCGUGUGUUGUUUGCUUAUUUUGAUGAAUCUAUGGCUAGUAAAAUAGUUCAUAAACCAUAGAGAAGUUGGAAUACAGUAGGUUUAACACCAACAUAAACAAAGAAUAAGUUCAUUACAGUACCUUGAAGUGGUCAUUUGUUUUCUUUCGCUAACGGAGCUCACGAGAUUUUCUACUUUGAGUUUUGUGUUGUGAAGUUUUCAAGUUUUGGGUAAAGAUUUGAUGGAUUAUGGAACAAGGAGUGGCAAGAGCCUAAGCUUUGGGAUGCCCAUGGAACCCCCAAGAUAAUCUAAGGACACCUAAAAGCCAAAUCUUGGUAAUGCCCCUGAAGGCAUCCCCUCUUUUCGUCUACUUCUAUCGGUAACUUUACUUGGAGCUAUAUUUUUAUUCACCACAUGAUAUGUGUUUUUCUUGGAGCGUCUUGUAUUAUUUGAGUCUUUAUUUGUUAGUUUACCACGAUCAUCCUUGCUGUACACACCUUUUCAGAGAGCCAUACAUGAUUUGGAAUUUGUUAGAAUGCUCUAUGUGCUUCGCUUAUAUCUUUUGAGUUAUAUAGUUUUGCUCUAGUACUUCGCUUAUAUCUUUUAGAGCACGGUGGUGGAUUUGUUUUAUAGAAACUAUUGAUCUCUCAUGCUUCACUUAGAUUAUUUUGAGAGUCUUAAAUAGCAUGAUAAUUUGCUUAAAUAAUGCUAAUAUGCUAGGUAUUCAAGAUUAGUAAAAAAAUAUCCUAGGAGUGUUUGAAUACUAAGAGACGUUUGAUGCUUGAUGAUCGUUUUGAGAUAUGGAGGUAAUAAUAUCAAAGUCGUGCUAGUUGAGUAGUUGUGAAUUCGAGAAGUGCUUGUGUUGAAGUUUGCAAAUCCCGUAGCAUGCACGUAUGGUAAACGUUGUGUAACAAAUUUGAAACAUAAGGUGUUUUUUUCAUUGUCUUCCUUAUGAGUGGCGGUCGGGGACGAGCGAUGGUCUUUUCCUACCAGUCUAUCCCUCUAGGAGCAUGCGCGUAGUGCCGAGGUUUUUUAUGACUUGUAGAUUUUUUCAAUAAGUAUGUGAGUUCUUUAUGACUAAUGUCGAGUCCAUGGAUUAUACGCGCUCUCACCCUUCCAUCAUUGCUAGCCUCUUCGGUACCGUGCAUUGCCCUUUCUCACAUUGAGAGUUGGUGCAAACUUCACCGGUGCAUCCAAACCCCGUGAUAUGAUACGCUCUUUCACACAUAAACCUCCUUAUAUCUUCCUCAAAACAGCCACCAUACCUACCUAUUAUGGCAUUUCCAUAGCCAUUCUGAGAUAUAUUGCCAUGCAACUUUCCACCAUUCCGUUUAUCAUGACACAUUCAUCAUUGUCAUAUUGCUUAGCAUGAUCAUGUAGUGGACAUAGUAUUUGUGGCAAAGCCACCGUUCAUAAUUCUUUCAUACAUGCCACUCUUGGUUCAUUGCAUAUCCCGGUACACCGCCGGAGGCAUUCAUAUAGAGUCAUCUUUUGUUCUAGCAUCGCGUUGUAAUCAUUGAGUUGUAAAUAAAUAGAAGUGUGAUGAUCAUCAUUUUCUAGAGCAUUGUCCCAAAUGAGGAAAAAAAGAGAAAGGCCAUAUAAAAAAAGGCCUGAAUAAAAAAAAGAGAGAAAAAGAGAGAAGGGACAAUGUUACUAUCCUUUGCCACACUUGUGCUUCAAAGUAGCACCAUAAACUUCAUGUCACUUUGCUUUUAUUUUACUUUGCAUAUUUGUCAGAAAAAUACCAAAAAUAUUAUCUUAUCAUAUCUAUCAGAUCUCACUCUCGUAAGUGGCCAUGUAGGGAUUGACAACCCCUUAUCACGUUGGUUGCGAGCAUUUAUUUGUUUUGUGCAGGUACGAGGGACUCGCGCGUAGCCUCCUACAGGAUUAAUACCUUGGUUCUCAAAAACUAAGGGAAAUACUUACGCUACUCUGCUGCAUCAUCCCUUCCUCUUCGGGGAAAAACCAACACAGUGCUCAAGAGGUAGCAGUGGUGUACCGGGAUUGCGAUGAAUCAAGAGUGACAUGUAUGAAAAAUUAUGAACGAUGGCUUUGCCACAAAUACGAUGUCAACUACAUGAUCAUGCAAAGCAAUAUGACAAUGAUGAUGCGUGUCAUAAUAAACAGAACGGUGGGAAGUUGCAUGGCAAUAUAUCUCGGAAUGGCUAUGGAAAUGCCAUAAUAGGUAGGUAUGGUGGCUGUUUUGAGGAAGAUAUAAGGAGGUUUAUGUGUGAUAGAGCGUAUCAUAUCACGGGGUUUGGAUGCACCGGCGAAGUUUGCACCAACUCUCAAUGUGAGAAAGGGCAAUGCACGGUACCGAAGAGGCUAGCAAUGAUGGAAGGGUGAGAGUGCGUAUAAUCCAUGGACUCAACAUUAGUCAUAAAGAACUCACAUACUUAUUGCAAAAAUCUACAAGUCAUCAUAAACCAAGCACUAUGCGUAUGCUCCUAGGGGGGUAGAUUGGUAGGAAAAGACCAUUGCUCGUCCCCGACCGCCACUCAUAAGGAAGACAAUCAAAGAACACCUCAUGUUUCAAAUUUGUUACAUAUCAUUUACCAUACGUGCAUGCUACGGGACUUGCAAACUUCAACACAAGCAUUUCUCAAAUACACAACUACUCAACUAGCACGACUUUGAUAUUAUUACCUCCGUAUCUCAAAACAAUCAUCAAGCAUCAAGCUUCUCUUAGUAUUCAAUGCACUCUAUAUGAAAGUUUUUAUUAUAUCCCUCUUGGAUGCCCAUCAUAUUAGGACUAGUUUCAUAACAAAAGCAAACUACCAUUCUGUUCUAAGGGACUCUCAAAAUAAUAUAAGUGAAUCAUGAGAGUUCAUCUAUUUCUAUAAAAUAAAACCACCACCAUGCUCUAAAAGAUAUAAGUGAAGCACUAGAGCAAAUGACAAACUACUCCAAAAGAUAUAAGUGAAGAUCAAUGAGUAGUCGAAUAAUUAUGCAACCAUGUGAAGACUCUCUAACAUUUAAUAAUUUCAGAUAUUGUUAUUUUAUCCAAGCAGCAAGCAAAACUAAAUAAAAUAAAAUGACUCUCCAAGCAAAACACAUAUCAUGUGGUGAAUAAAAAUAUAGCUCCAAGUGAAGUUACCGAUAGACGAGGACGAAAGAGGGGAUGCCUUCCGGGGCAUCCCCAAGCUUAGGCUUUUGGUUGUCCUUGAAUAUUACCUUGGGGUGCCUUGGGAAUCCCCAAGCUUAGGAUCUUUCCACACCUUGUUCCAUAGUCCAUCAAAUCUUUACCCAAAACUUGAAAACUUCACAACACAAAUCUUAACCAAAAACUCGUAAGCUCCGUCAGUAUAAGAAAAUAAAUCACCACUUAGGUACUGUUGUGAACUCAUUCUAAAUUCAUAUUGGUGUAAUAUCUACUGUAUUCCAACUUAUCUAUGGUUCAUACCCUCCGAUACUACUCAUAGGUUCAUCAAAAUAAGCAAACAACACAUUGAAAACAGAAUCUAUCAAAAACAGAACAGUCUGUAGUAAUAUGGAUCAAACGUAUACUUCUGGAACCCCAAAAAUUCUAAAAUAAAUUUCUGGACCUGAUUAAUUUAUCUAUUAAUCAUAUUCAAAAGGAAUUAACUAAAUAUCACUCUCCAAAUAAAAAUUGCAGCAAUUCUCGUGAGUGCUAAAGUUUCUGUUUUUUACAGCAUGAUUAUAAAGACUUCACCCAAGUCUUCCCAAAGGUUCUACUGGGCACAAACACUAAUUAAAACAUAAAACCACAUCCAAACAGGGGCUAGAUGAAUUAUUUAUUACUAAACAGGAGCAUAAAGAAAGGAACAAAAAUAAAAUUGGGUUGCCUCCCAACAAGCGCUAUCGUUUAACGCCCCUAGCUAGGCAUGAUGAUUUCAAUGAUGCUCACAUAAAAGAUAAGAAUUAAAACAUAAAGAGAGCAUCAUGAAGAAUAUUACUAGAGCAUUUAAGUCUAACCCACUUCCUAUGCAUUGGGAUUAUGUGAGCAAACAACUUGUGGGUACAAGAAUCAAUUUGCAUAGGAAGGUAAAACAAGCAUAACUUCAAAACUUUAAGCACAUAGAGAGGAAACUUGAUAUUAUUGCAAUUCCUACAAGCAUAAGUUCCUCCCUCAUAAUAAUUUUCAUUAGCAUCAUGAAUGAAUUCAACAAUAUAACCAGCACCUAAAGCAUUAUUUUCAUUAUCUAUAAGCAUAGAAAUUUUAUUACUCUCCACAUGAGCAAAAUUCUUCUCAUUCGGAAUAGUGGGAGUAUCAUAAGAAACUCGAAUACUAUAAAUUGUUUCCACAUUAAAAGAGUAAUGUUCAGAAAAGGGGUUAUCAUAAUCAUACAAGUUUUAUAAUCAUAAUCACUACUUUUUAUAGCAUAAGUACCAUCACAAUAAUCAUCAUAAGUAGGAGGCAUGCUAUCAUCAUUAUAAAUUUGCAUAUCAAAACUUGGGAGACUAAAAAUAUCAUCUUCAUUAAACGUAGCAUCCCCAAGCUUGAGACAAACAUUAGCUGCAGCAAAUAUAUUCUCAAAAACAUCAUUUUCAUCAAACAUAGCAUCCCCAAGCUUGGCCCUUUUCAUAUCAUAAGCAUAAUCACUCUCAUCAUUAAUAGUAUGGAUAGCACCAAUAGUAUAGCAAUUAUCAUAUUCUUCCAAGCAAGUGCCAAAAAGAUCUUCAAGAUCAUAAUAAGUAUCAUUAUCUUUCACAAUUAUAUUUUCAUGAGGCACAAUAGUAAUAGGAGCAGCAUUAUUUGGGGGAGAUAUCUUUUUACCUCUCUUCCUUUUUCUUUUCUUCUUCUUCACCACAUCAUGUGUGGGUUCAAUCCUCUUUUUGUAGCUCCUUAUUAAUGAGAUUGGUUGAAUAGGAGGCUCUUCCUCGUUACCUGAUUCAUCAUAAGAAAUAAUAGGAGGGUAUUGGGAAGUCUCUUCCCUUUCAUUAGUAUUCUCUUCAUCUUCUAUUUAUUUUCUUUUCUUCAUGUAGUUGGCAAUAUAAGGAUUUUCAAUACAAUUCACCGCACAAUACAUAUAAAUUUUCUCUAGAUCAAAAUCAAGAAAUCUACCAAGAUUAAACUUUGGAAUACCCUCAGUUAUACUUUUCAUUUCCUCAUACCCCAAAAGAAGACUAAGCUCUUUAUGAUGCUCAAGGGUAAUCAAAUUAUCACAAUUUUUGGGUACGAUUUGGUCAUGAAACAAUUUGCAUUGGAGAUUUAAAUGACCAUGUUCAUUGCAAAGUUCACAAGGGGCGCGAAAAAUAUUGAAUUUUUCAGCACAAACAUCAAGACUUUCUUGCAACAAUUUAGUUUCUAAAUACUUAUGCCUCUUGCAAUAUCUAUCUUCCCUAUUUGGUGUAUACUUGCAAACCCAAUGCACUCCACAAAAAUUGACAUGUUUAUAGGAGACAUUUUCAUCAUAACUAGUGCAAUCAUCAUUAGUACUACGGAUAUUCAAAGAGUUCAUACUAACAACAUUCCAAUCAUGCUCAUCAUUCAAAGAUUUAGUGCCAAACAUUUUAAUGCAUUCUUCUUAUAACACUUUGGCACAAUUUUCCUUUCCACCAUACUCACGGAAGAUAUUAAAAAGAUGAAGCGUAUGAGACAAACUCAAUGUUGGGGAACGUUGCAGAAAACAAAAAAAUUCCUACGGUUUCACCAAGAUCCAUCUAUGAGUUCAUCUAGCAACGAGUGAUCGGAUGCAUCUACAUACCUUGUAGAUCGUGAGCGGAAGCGUUCAAAGAAUGGGGAUGAGGGAGUCGUACUCGAUGUGAUCCAAAUCACCGGAGAUCCUAGCGCCGAACGGACGACACCUCCGCGUUCAACACACGUACGGUCAACGUGACGUCUCCUCCUUCUUGAUCCAGCAAGGGGAAGGAGAGGUUGAGGAAGAUGGGUCCAGCAGCAGCACGACGGCGUGGUGGUGGUGGAGAAGCAGUACUCCGACAGGGCUUUGCCGAGCUCUACGGAGGAGGAGGAGGUGUUGGAGGGGAGAGGGAGGCGCCAAGGGCAUGGGUGCGGCUGCCCUCCCUCCCCCCCUCUAUAUAUAGGGUCCCCAAGGGGGGGGCGCCGGCCCUGGAGAUUCAAUCUCCCAAGGGGCGCGGCCAAGGGGGGUGGAGUGCCCCCCAAGGCAAGUGGGGCGUGAAGGAAAUAUGCCCUAGAGGCAAUAAUAAAGUUAUUAUUUAUUUCCUUAUAAUCAUGAUAAAUGUUUAUUAUUCAUGCUAGAAUUGUAUUAACCGAAAACAUAAUACAUGUGUGAAUACAUAGACAAACAAGGUGUCACUAGUAUGCCUCUACUUGACUAGCUCGUUAAUCAAAGAUGAUUAUGUUUCCUAAUCAUGAACAAUGAGUUGUUAUUUGAUUAACGGGAUCACAUCAUUAAGAGAAUGAUCUGAUUGACAUGACCCAUUCCAUUAGCUUAGCACCCGAUCGUUUAGUAUGUUGCUAUUGCUUUCUUCAUGACUUAUACAUGUUCCUAUAACUAUGAGAUUAUGCAACUCCCGUUUACCGGAGGAACACUUUGGGUACUACCAAACGUCACAACAUAACUGGGUGAUUAUAAAGGAGUAUUACAGGUGUCUCCAAAGGUACAUGUUGGGUUGGCGUAUUUCGAGAUUAGGUUUUGUCACUCCGAUUGUCGGAGAGGUAUCUCUGGGCCCUCUCGGUAAUGCACAUCACUUAAGCCUUGCAAGCAUUGCAACUAAAUGAGUUAGUUGCGGGAUGGUGUAUUACGGAACGAGUAAGGAGACUUGCCGGCAACGAGAUUGAACUAGGUAUUGGAAUACCGACGAUCGAAUCUCGGGCAAGUAACAUACCGAUGACAAAGGGAACGACGUAUGUUGUUAUGCGGUCUAACCGAUAAAGAUCUUCGUAGAAUAUGUAGGAGCCAAUAUGGGUAUCCAGGUACCGCUAUUGGUUAUUGACUGGAGACAUGUCUCGGUCAUGUCUACAUUGUUCUCGAACCCGUAGGGUCCGCACGCUUAAGGUUACGAUGACAGUUAUAUUAUGAGUUUAUGCAUUUUGAUGUACCGAAGGUUGUUCGGAGUCCCGGAUGUGAUCAUGGACAUGACAAGGAGUCUCAAAAUGGUCGAGGCAUAAAGAUUGAUAUAUUGGAAGCCUAUGUUUGGAUAUCGAAAGUGUUCCGGGUGAAAUCGGGAUUUUACCGGAGAACCGGGAGGUUACCGGAACCCCCCGGGAGCUAAAUGGGCCAUGAUGGGCCUUAGUGGAAAAGAGAAGAGGCAGCCCUACAUGGGCCGCGCGCCCCUCCCCUCCCUUGGUCCGAAUAGGACAAGGAGAGGGGGCCGACCCCUCUCUCUCUUUUCCCCCCUCCGCGAAUCCUAUUCCAACUAGGAUUGGGGGGGGGGGGAAUCCUACCCCGAGAGGGAGUAGGACUCUCCUGGCGCGCCCUCCUUGGCCGGCCAGCCUCCUCCCUUUAGUCCUUUAUAUACGGAGGCAGGGGCACCCCAGAAACACACAAGUUGAUCCACGUGAUCUAUUCCUUAGCCGUGUGCGGCGCCCCCAGCCACCAUAGUCCUCGAUAAUACUGUACCGGAGUUUAGGCGAAGCCCUGCUGCUGUAGUGCAUCAUGAUCGUCACCACGCCGUCGUGCUGACGGAACUCUUCCCCGACACUUUGCUGGAUCGGAGUCCGAGGAUCGUCAUCGAGCUGAAUGUGUGCUAGAACUCGGAGGUGCCGUAGUUUCGUUGCUUGAUCGGUCGGAUCAUGAAGACGUACGACUACAUCAACCAAACGCUUCUGUUGUCGAUCUACUAGGUAUGUAGAUCACACUCCCCCCCCCUCGUUGCUAUGCAUCACAUGAUCUUGCGUGUGCGUAGGAAUUUUUUUGAAAUUACUACGUCCCCAACAGUGGCAUCCGAGCCUAGGUUUUAUAUGUUGAUGUUAUAUGCACGAGUAGAACACAAGUGAGUUGUGGGCGAUAUAAGUCAUACUGCCUACCAGCAUGUCAUACUUUGGUUCGGCGGUAUUGUUGGAUGAAGCGGCCCAGACCGACAUUACGCGUACGCUUACGCGAGACCGGUUCUCGCGACGUGCUUUGCACAGAGGUGGCUUGUGGGUGACAGUUUCUCCAACUUUAGUUGAACCAAGUGUGGCUACACCCGGUCCUUGCGAAGGUUAAAACGGAGUCAAAUUGACAAACUAUCGUUGUGGUUUUGAUGCGUAGGUGAGAUUUGUUCUUACUUAAGCCUGUAGCAGCCACGUAAAACUUGCAACAACAAAGUAGAGGACGUCUAACUUGUUUUUGCAGGGCAUGUUGUGAUGUGAUAUGGUCAAGACAUGAUGCUGAAUUUUAUUGUAUGAGAUGAUCAUGUUUUGUAACCGAGUUAUCGGCAACCGGCAGGAGCCAUAUGGUUGUCGCUUUAUUGUAUGCAAUGCAAUCGCGAUGUAAUGCUUUACUUUAUCACUAAAUGGUAGCGAUAGUCGUGGAAGCACAAGCUUGGCGAGACGACAAUGGUGCUACGAUGGAGAUCAAGGUGUCACGCCGGUGACGAUGGUGAUCACGACGGUGCUUCAGAGAUGGAGAUCACAAGCACAAGAUGAUGAUGGCCAUAUCAUAUCACUUAUAUUGAUUGCAUGUGAUGUUUAUCUUUUAUGCAUCUUAUCUUGCUUUGAUUGACGGUAGCAUUAUAAGAUGAUCUCUCACUAAAUUAUCAAGAAGUGUUCUCCCUGAGUAUGCACCGUUGCGAAAGUUCUUCGUGCUGAGACACCAUGUGAUGAUCGGGUGUGAUAGGUUCUACGUUCAAAUACAACGGGUGCAAAAUAGUUGCACACGCGGAAUACUCAGGUUAUACUUGACGAGCCAAGCAUAUACAGAUAUGGCCUCGGAACACGGAGACCGAAAGGUCGAGCGUGAAUCAUAUAGUAGAUAUGAUCAACAUAGCGAUGCUCACCAAUGAAACUACUCCAUCUCACGUGAUGAUCGGACAUGGUUUAGUUGAUUUGGAUCACGUGAUCACUUAGAGGAUUAGAGGGAUGUCUAUCUAAGUGGGACUUCUUAAGUAAUAUGAUUAAUUGAACUUAAAUUUAUCAUGAACUUAGUCCUGGUAGUAUUUUGCAAAUUAUGUUGUAGAUCAAUAGCUCGCAUUGUUGCUUCCCUGUGUUUAUUUUGAUAUGUUCCUAGAGAAAAUUGUGUUGAAAGAUGUUAGUAGCAAUGAUGCGGAUUGGAUCCAUGAUCUGAGGUUUAUCCUCAUUGCUGCAUAGAAGAAUUAUGUCCUUGAUGCACCGCUAGGUGACAGACCUAUUGCAGGAGCAGAUGCAGAUGUUAUGAACAUUUGGCUAGCUCAAUAUGAUGACUACUUGAUAGUUUAGUGCACCAUGCUUAAUGGCUUAGAAUCGGGACUUCAAAGACAUUUUGAACGUCAUGGACCAUAUGAGAUGUUCCAGGAGUUGAAGUUAAUAUUUCAAGCAAAUACCCGAGUUGAGAGAUAUGAAGUCUCCAACAAGGUCUAUAGCUAAAAGAUGGAGGAGAAUCGCUCAACUAGUGAGCAUGUGCUCAGAUUGUCUGGGUACUACAAUCGCUUGAAUCAAGUGGGAGUUAAUCUUCCAGAUAAGAUAGUGAUUGACAGAAUUCUCUAGUCACCAUCACCAAGUUAGUAGAACUUCCUGAUGAACUAUGAUAUGCAAGGGAUAACGGAAAUGAUUCCCAAGCUCUUCGUAAUGCGGAAAUUGACGAAGGUAGAAAUCGAGAAAAACAUCAAGUGUUGAUGGUAGACAAGACCACUAGUUUCAAGAAAAGGGCAGAGGGAAGAAGGGGAACUUCAAGAAGAACAGCAAGCAUGUUGCUACUCAAGUGAAGAAGCCCAAGUCUGGUCCUAAGCCUGAGACUAAGUGUUUCUACUGCAAAGGGACUGGUCACUGAAAGCGGAACUACCCCAAGUGAUUGGCAGAUAAGAAGGAUGGCAAAAUGAACAUAAGUAUAUUUGAUAUACAUGUUAUUGAUGUGUACUUUACUAGUGUUUAUAGCAACCCCUCAGUAUUUGAUACUAGUUCAGUUGCUAAGAUUAGUAACUUGAAACGGGAGUUGCAGAAUAAACAGAGACUAGUUAAGGGUGAAGUGACGAUGUGUGUUGGAAGUGGUUCCAAGAUUGAUAUGAUCAUCAUCGCACACUCCCUAUACUUUCGGGAUUAGUGUUGAACCUGAAUAAGUGUUAUUUGGUGUUUGUGUUAAGCAUGAAUAUGAUUUGAUCAUGUUUAUUAUAAUACGGAUAUUCAUUUAAGUAAGAGAAUAAAUUGUUGUUCUGUUUACAUGAAUAAAACCUUAUAUGGUUACACACCCAAUGAAAAUAGUUCAUUGGAUCUCGAUCGUAGUGAUACACAUAAUCAUAAUAUUGAAACCAAAAGAUGCAAAGUUAAUAAUGAUAGUGCAACUUAUUUGUAGCACUGCCAUUUAGGUCAUAUUGGUGUAAAGUGCAUGAAGAAACUCCAUGCUGAUGGAUUUUGGAAUCACUUGAUUAUGAAUCACUUGAUGCUUGAGAACCAUGCCUCAUGGUCAAGAUGACUAAGACUCCGUUCUCCGGAGAGAGCAACUGACUUAUUGGAAAUAAUACAUACUGAUGUAUGCGGUCCGAUGAGUGUUAAGGCUCACGGCAAGUAUCGUUAUUUUCUGAACUUCACAGAUGAUUUGAGCAAGAUAUGGGUAUAUCUACUUGAUGAAACAUAAGUCCUAAACAUUUGAAAAGUUCAAAGAAUUUCAGAGUGAAGUGGAAAAUCAUCAUGACAAGAAAAAAAAAUUUCUAUGAUCUGAUCGCGGAGACAAAUAUUUGAGUUACGAGUUUGGUCUUCAAAUAAAACAAUGUGGAAUAGUUUCACAAACUCAUGCCACAUGGAACACCACAGCAUAAUGGUGUGUCUGAACAUUAUAACCGUACUUUAUUAGAUAUGGUGCGAUCUAUGAUGUUUUUUUUUGAUCUACCACUAUCGUUUUGGGGUUAUGCAUUAAAGACAGCUGCAUUCACAUUUAAAAGGGCACCAUCUAAGUCCGUUGAGACGACACAAUCUGAACUGUGGUUUGGCAAGAAACCAAAGUUGUCAUUUCUUAAAGUUUGGGAUUGUGAUGCUUAUAUGAAAAGGUUUCAUCCUGAUAAGCUCAAAUCCAAAUAGGAGAAAUAUGUCUUCAUAGGAUACCCAAAGGAGACUGUUGGGUACACCUUCUAUCACAAAUCCGAAGGCAAGACUUUUGUUGCUAAAUUCGGAGUUUUUCUAGAGAAGGAGUUUCUCUCGAAAGAAGUGAGUGGGAGGAAAGUAGAACUUGAUGAGGUAACUGUACCUGCUCCCUUAUUGGAAAGUAGUUCAUCACAGAAAUCUGUUCCUGUGACUACUACACCAAUUCGUGAGGAAGCUAAUGAUGAUGAUCAUGUAACUUCAGAUCAAGUUACUACCAAAUCUCGUAGGUAAACCAGAGUGAGAUCCACACCAGAGUGGUACGGUAAUCCCAUUCUGGAAGUCGUGUUACUAGACCAUGACGAACUUGCGAACUAUGAGGAAGCGAUGAUGAGCCCAGAUUCUGCGAAAUGGUUUGAGGUCAUGAAAUCUGAGAUAUGAUCCAUGUAUGAGAACAAAGUAUGGACUUUGAUGGAUUUGCUCGAUGAUCGGCAAGCCAUAGAAAAUAAAUGGAUCUUCAAGAGGAAGACAGACGCUGAUAGUAGUGUUACUAUCUACAAAGCUAGAAUUGUCGCAAAAGGUUUUCGACAAGUUCAAGGAGUUGACUACGAUGAGAUUUUCUCACUCGUAUCUAUGCUUAAGUCUGUCCGAAUCAUGUUAGCAAUUGCCGCAUUUUAUGAAAUCUGGCAAAUGGAUAAACAAAACUGCAUUCCUUAAUGGAUUUACUAAAGAAGAGUUGUAUACGAUGCAACUAGAAGGUUUUGUCGAUCCUAAAGGUGUUAACUAAAUAUGCAAGCUCCAGCGAUCCAUCUAUGGACUAGUGCAAGAAUCUCAGAGUUGGAAUAUACGCUUUGAUAAGUUGAUCAAAGCAUAUAGUUUUAUGCAGACUUGCGGUGAAGCCUGUAUUUACAAGAAAGUGAGUGGGAGCACUACAACAUUUCUGAUAAGUAUAUGUGAAUGACAUAUUGUUGAUCGGAAAUAAUGUAGAAUUAUUCUGCAAAGCAUAAAGGAGUGUUUGAAAGGAGUUUUUUCAAAAAGGACCUCGAAGAAGCUGCUUACAUAUUGAGCAUCAAGAUCUAUAGAGAUAGAUCAAGACGCUUGAUAAGUUUUUUUUCAAUGAGUACAUACCUUGACAAGAUUUUAUAAUAGUUCAAAAUGGAACAGUCAAAGAAAGUGUUCUUGCCUGUGUCAUAAGGUGUGAAAUUGAGUAAGACUCAAAGCCCGACCACGGCAGAAGAUAGAAAGAGAAUGAAUGUCAUUCCCUAUGCCUCGGUCAUAGGUUCUAUAAAGUAUGCCAUGCUGUGUACCAGAUCUAUUGUAUACCCUACCAUUGAGUUUGGCAAGGGAGUACAAUAGUGAUCUAGGAGUAGAUCACUGGACAGCGGUCAAAAUUAUCCUUAGUGGAAUAAGGAAAUAUUUCUCAAUUAUGGAGGUGACAAAAAGGUUCGUCGUAAAAAGUUACAUCGAUGCAUGUUUUGACACAGAUCUGGAUGACUCUAAGUCUCGAUCUAGAUACAUAUUGAAAGUGGGAGCAAUAAGUUAGAGUAGCUCCGUGCAGAGCAUUGUUGACAUAGAAAUUCGCAAAAUACUUACGGAUCCGAAUGUGACAGACCUGUUGACUAAAAUUAUCUCACAAGCAAAACAUGAUCACACCUUAGUACUCUUUGGGUAUUAAUCACAUAGCGAUGUGAACUAGAUUACUGACUCUAGUAAACCCUUUGGGUGUUGAUCACAUAUCGAUGUGAACUAUGGGUGUUAAUCACAUGGUGAUGUGAACUAUUGUUGUUAAAUCACAUGGCGAUGUGAACUAGAUUAUUGACUCUAGUGCAGGUGGGAGACCGAAGGAAAUAUGCCCUAGAGGCAAUAAUAAAGUUAUUAUUUAUUUCCUUAUAAUCAUGAUAAAUGUUUAUUAUUCAUGCUAGAAUUGUAUUAACUGGAAACAUAAUACAUGUGUGAAUACAUAGACAAACAAAGUGUCACUAGUAUGCCUCUACUUGACUAGCUCGUUAAUCAAAGAUGAUUAUGUUUCCUAAUCAUGAACAAUGAGUUGUUAUUUGAUUAACGAGAUCACAUCAUUAAGAGAAUGAUUUGAUUGACAUGACCCAUUCCAUUAGCUUAGCACCCGAUCAUUUAGUAUGUUGCUAUUGCUUUCUUCAUGACUUAUACAUGUUCCUAUAACUAUGAGAUUAUGCAACUCCCGUUUACCGGAGGAACACUUUGGGUACUACCAAAGGUCACAAUGUAACUGGGUGAUUAUAAAGGAGUAUUACAGGUCUCUCCAAAGGUACAUGUUGGGUUGGCGUAUUUCGAGAUUAGGUUUUGUCACUCCGAUUGUCGGAGAGGUAUCUCUGAGCCCUCUCGGUAAUGCACAUCACUUAAGCCUUGCAAGCAUUGCAACUAAAUGAGUUAGUUGCGGGAUGAUGUAUUACGGAACGAGUAAAGAGACUUGCCGGCAACGAGAUUGAACUAGGUAUUGGAAUACCGACGAUCGAAUCUCGGGCAAGUAACAUACCGAUGACAAAGGGAACGACGUAUGUUGUUAUGCGGUCUGACCGAUAAAGAUCUUCAUAGAAUAUGUAGGAGCCAAUAUGGGCAUCCAGGUCCCGCUAUUGGUUAUUGACUGGAGACAUGUCUCGGUCAUGUCUACAUUGUUCUCGAACCCGUAGGGUCCGCACGCUUAAGGUUACGAUGACAGUUAUAUUAUGAGUUUAUGCAUUUUGAUGUACCGAAGGUUGUUCAGAGUCUCGGAUGUGAUCACGGACAUGAUGAGGAGUCUCGAAAUGGUCGAGACAUAAAGAUUGAUAUAUUGGAAGCCUAUGUUUGGAUAUCGGAAGUGUUCCAGGUGAAAUCGGGAUUUUACCGGAGUACCGGGAGGUUACCGGAACCCCCCGGGAGCUAAAUGGGCCAUGAUGGGCCUUAGUGGAAAAGAGAAGAGGCAGCCCUACAUGGGCCGCGCGCCCCUCCCCUCCCUUGGUCCGAAUAGGACAAGGAGAGGGGGCCGGACCCUCUCUCUCUUUUCCCUCCUCCGCGAAUCCUAUUCCAACUAGGAUUGGGGGGGGGGGGGAUCCUACUCCCAGAGGGAGUAGGACUCUCCUGGCGCGCCCUCCUUGGCCGGCCAGCCUCCCCCCUUUAGUCCUUUAUAUACGGAGGCAAAGGCACCCCAGAGACACACAAGUUGAUCCACGUGAUCUAUUCCUUAGCCGUGUGCAGCGCCCCCAGCCACCAUAGUCCUCAAUAAUACUGUAGCGGAGUUUAGGCGAAGCCCUGCUGCUGUAGUGCAUCAAUAUCGUCACCACGCCGUCGUGCUGACGGAACUCUUCCCCGACACUUUGCUGGAUCGGAGUCCGAGGAUCGUCAUCGAGUUGAACGUGUGCUAGAACUCAGAGGUGCCGUAGUUUCGGUGCUUGAUCGGUCGGAUCGUGAAGACGUACGACUACAUAAACCAAACACUUCCGUUGUCGAUGUACUAGGUAUGUAGAUCACACUCCCCCCCCCUCGUUGCUAUGCAUCACAUGAUCUUGCGUUUGCGUAGGAAAUUUUUUGAAAUUACUACGUUCCCCAACAGGGCGCCCCCCACCCUAGGGUUCCCAACCCUAGUCGCAGGGGGAAGGCCCAAGGGGGGCGCACCAGCCCACUAGGGGCUGGUUCCCCUCCCACUUCAGCCCAUGGGGCCCUCUGGGAUAGGUGGCACCACCCGGUGGACCCCCGGGACCCUUCCAGUGGUCCCGGUACAAUACCGGUGACCCCGAAACUUGUCCCGAUGGCCGAAAUAGCACUUCCUAUAUAUAAUUCUUUACCUCCGGACCAUUCCGGAACUCCUCGUGACGUCCGGUAUCUCAUUCGGGACUCCGAACAACUUUCUGGUUACUGCAUAUUCAUAUCCCUACAACCCUAGCGUCACCGAACCUUAAGUGUGUAGACCCUACGGGUUCGGGAGACAUGUAGACAUGACCGAGAUGGCUCUCCGGUCAAUAACCAACAGCGGGAUCUGGAUACCCAUGUUGGCUCCCACAUGCUCCUCGAUGAUCUCAUCGGGUGAACCACGAUGUCGAGGAUUCAAGCAACCCCGUAUACAAUUCCCUUUGUCAAUCGGUACGUUACUUGCCCGAGAUUCGAUCGUCGGUAUCCCAAUACCUCGUUCAAUCUCGUUACCGGCAAGUCACUUUACUCGUACCGUAAUGCAUGAUCCCGUGACCAGACACUUGGUCACUUUGAGCUCAUUGUGAUGAUGGAUUACCGAGUGGGCCCAGAGAUACCUCUUCGUCAUAUGGAGUGACAAAUCCUAGUCUUGAUCCGCGUCAACCCAACAGACACUUUCGGAGAUACCCGUAGUAUACCUUUAUAGUCAGCCAGUUACGUUGUGACGUUUGGUACACCCAAAGCACUCCUACGGUAUCCGGGAGUUACACGAUCUCAUGGUCUAAGGAAAGGAUACUUGACAUUGGAAAAACUCUAGCAAACGAACUAUACGAUCUUGUGCUAUGUUUAGGAUUGGGUCUUGUCCAUCACAUCAUUCUCCUAAUGAUGUGAUCUCGUUAUCAAUGACAUCCAAUGUCCAUAGUCAGGAAACCAUGACUAUCUGUUGAUCAACGAGCUAGUCAACUAGAGGCUUACUAGGGACAUGUUGGUGUCUAUUUAUUCGCACAUGUAUUACGAUUUCCUGAUAACACAAUUAUAGCAUGAAUAAAAUACAAUUAUCAUGAACAAGGUAAUAUAAUAAUAAUGCUUUUAUCAUUGCCUCUAGGGCGUAUUUCCAACAGUCUGCCGCUUGCACUAGAGUCAAUAAUCUAGUUACAUUGUGAUGAAUCGAACACCCAUGGAAUUCUGGUGUUGAUCAUGUUUUGCUCUAGGGAGAGGUUUAGUCAACGGAUCUGCUACAUUCAGGUCCGUAUGUACUUUACAAAUAUCUAUGUCUCCAUCUUGAACAUUUUCACGAAUGGAAUUGAAUCGACGCUUGAUGUGCCUGGUCUUCUUGUGAAACCUGGGCUCCUUGGCAAGUGCAAUAGCUCCAGUGUUGUCACAGAAGAGUUUGAUUGGCCCCGACGCAUUGGGUAUGACUCCUAGGUCAGUGAUGAACUCCUUCACCCAAAUUGCUUCAUGCGCUGCCUCAGAGGCUGCCAUGUACUCCGCUUCACAUGUAGAUCCCGCAGCGACGCUCUGCUUGCAAUUGCACCAGCUUACUGCCCCACCAUUCAAAAUAUACACUUAUCCGGUUUGUGACUUAGAGUCAUCCAGAUCUGUGUCGAAGCUAGCAUCGAUGUAACCCUUUACGACGAGCUCUUCGUCACCUCCAUAAACGAGAAACAUUUCCUUAGUCCUUUUCAGGUACUUCAGGAUAUUCUUCACCGCUGUCCAGUGUUCCUUGCCGGGAUUACUUUGGUACCUACCUACCAAACUUACGGCAAGGUUUACAUCAGGUCUGGUACACAGCAUGGCAUACAUAAUAGAACCUAUGGCUGAGGCAUAGGGGAUGACACUCAUCUCUUCUAUAUCUUCUGCCGUGGUCGGACAUUGAGCUGAGCUCAAUUUCACACCUUGCAACACAGGCAAGAACCCCUUCCUAGACUGAUCCAUAUUGAACUUCUUCAAUAUCUUAUCAAGGUAUGUACUUUGUGAAAGACCUAUGAGGCGUCUUGAUCUAUCUCUAUAGAUCUUGAUGCCUAAUAUAUAUGCAGCUUCUCCAAGGUCCUUCAUUGAAAAACUCUUAUUCAAGUAGGCCUUAAUGUUGUCCAAGAGUUCUAUAUCAUUUUCCAUCAAAAGUAUGUCAUCUACAUAUAAUAUGAGAAAUGCUACAGAGCUCCCACUCACUUUCUUGUAAACGCAGGCUUCUCCAUAAGUCUGCGUAAACCCAAACACUUUGAUCAUCUCAUCAAAGCGAAUGUUCCAACUCCGAGAUGCUUGCACUAGCCCAUAAAUCGAGGGUUGGAGCUUGCACACCUUGUCAGCAUUCUUAGGAUCGACAAAACCUUCCGGCUGCAUCAUAUACAAUUCUUCCUUAAGGAAACCAUUAAGGAAUGCCGUUUUGACGUCCAUUUUCCAUAUCUCAUAAUCAUAGAAUGCGGCAAUUGCUAACAUGAUUCGGACGGACUUUAGCUUCGCUACCGGUGAGAAAGUCUCAUCGUAGUCAACCCCUUGAACUUGUCGAUAACCCUUAGUGAAAAGCCGAGCUUUAUAGAUGGUCACAUUACCAUCCGCAUCUGUCUUCUUCUUAAAGAUCCAUUUAUUUUCUAUGGCUCGCCGCUCAACGGGCAAGUCAGUCAAAGUCCAUACUUUUUUUUCAUACAUGGAUCCUAUCUCGGAUUUCAUGGCUUCUAGCCAUUUGUCAGAAUCCGGGCCCGUCAGCGCUUUUUCAUAGUUCGGAGGUUCACCAUUGUCUAACAACAUGAUUUCCAAGACAGGGUUGCCGUACCACUCUGGUGCGGAACGUGUCCUUGUGGACCUACGAAGUUCAGUAGCAACUUGAUCCGAAGUUUCAUGAUCAUCUUCAUUAAUUUCCUCUCUAGUCGGUGCAGGCACCUCAGGAACAUUUUCUUGAGUUGUGCCAUUUUCCGGUUCAAGAGGUAAUACUUCAUCAAGUUCUACUUUCCUCCCACUUACUUCUUUCGAGAGAAACUCCUUCUCUAGAAAGGAUCCAUUCUUGGCAACAAAGAUCUUUGCCUUCGGAUCUGAGGUAGAAGGUAUACCCAAUAGUUUCUUUAGGGUAUCCUAUGAAGACGCAUUUUUCCGACUUGGGUUCGAGCUUUUCAGGUUGAAGUUUCUUGACAUAAGCAUCGCAUCCCCAAACUUUUAGAAACUAUAGCUUAGGUUUCUUCCCAAACCAUAAUUCAUACGGUGUCGUCUCAACGGAUUUCGACGGAGCCCUAUUUAAAGUGAAUGCGGCAGUCUGUAAAGCAUAGCCCCAAAAUAAUUGCGGUAAUUCGGUAAGAGUGAUCAUAGAUCGCACCAUAUCUAAUAGAGUGCGAUUACGACAUUCAGACACACCAUUACGCUGAGGUGUUCCAGGCGGCGUCAGUUGUGAAACUAUUCCACAUUUUCUUAAGUGUGUGCCAAAUUCGUGACUCAAGUAUUCUCCUCCAUGAUCUGAUCACAAGAACUUGAUUUUCCUGUCACGUUCAUUCUCAACCUCACUCUAAAAUUCCUUGAACUUUUCAAAGGUCUCAGACUUGUGUUUCAUUAAAUAGACAUACCCAUAUCUACUCAAGUCAUCAGUGAGGGUGAGAACAUAACGAUAGCCACCGCGAGCCCCAGCACUCAUUGGACCGCACGCAUCAGUAUGUAUGAUUUUCAAUAAGUUGGUUGCUCGCUCCAUUGUUCCUGAGAACAGAGUCUUGGUCAUUUUACCCAUGAGGCAUGGUUCGCACGUGUCAAAUGAUUCGUAAUCAAGAGACUCUAGAAGUCCAUCUGCAUGGAGCUUCUUCAUGCGUUUGACACCUAUGUGACCAAGGCGGCAGUGCCACAAGUAUGUGGGACUAUUAUUAUCAACCUUACAUCUUUUGGUAUUCACACUAUGAAUAUGUGUAGCAUUACGCUCGAGAUUCAUUAAGAAUAAACCAUUCACCAUCGGAGCAUGACCAUAAAACAUAUCUCUCAUAUAAAUAGAACAACCAUUAUUCUCGGAUUUAAAUGAGUAGCCAUCUCGUAUUAAACGAGAUCCUGAUACAAUGUUCAUGCUCAAACUUGGCACUAAAUAACAAUUAUUGAGGUUCAAAACUAAUCCCGUAGGUAAAUGUAGAGGUAGCGUGCCGACGGCGAUCACAUCGACCUUGGAACCAUUCCCGACGCGCAUCGUCACCUCGUCCUUCGCCAGUCUCCGCUUAUUCCGCAGCUCCUGCUUUGAGUUACAAAUGUGAGCAACUUCACCGGUAUCAAAUACCCAAGAGCUACUACAAGUACUGGUAAGGUACACAUCAAUUACAUGUAUAUCACAUAUACCUUUAUGAUGCCGGCCUUCUUGUCCGCUAAGUAUUUGGGGCAGUUCCGCUUCCAGUGACCACUUCCCUUGCAAUAAAAGCACUCAGUCUCGGGCUUGGGUCCAUUCUUUGGCUUCUUCCCGGCAGCUUGCUUGCCGGGCGCGGCAACUCCCUUGCCGUCCUUCUUGAAGUUCUUCUUACCCUUGCCUUUCUUGAACUUAGUGGUUUUAUUCACCAUCAACACUUGAUGUUCCUUUUUGACUUCUACCUCUGCUUAUUUCAGCAUUGCAAAUACUUCAGGAAUGGUCUUUUCCAUCCCCUGCAUAUUGAAGUUCAUCACAAAGCUCUUGUAGCUUGGUGGAAGCGACUAGAGGAUUCUCUCAAUGGCCGCGUCAUUUGGGAGAUUAACUCCCAGCUGAGUCAAGCGGUUAUGUAACCCAGACAUAGUGAGUAUGUGCUCACUGACAGAACUAUUUUCCUCCAUCUUACAGCUGAAUAACUUGUCGGAGACUUCAUAUCUCUCGACCCUGGCAUGAGCUUGAAAAACCAUUUUCAGCUCUUCGAACAUCUCAUAUGCUCCGUGUCUCUCAAAAUGCUUUUGGAGCCCCGGCUCUAAGCUGUAAAGCAUGCGGCACUGAACGAGGGAGUAAUCAUCGGAACGUGUCUGCCAAGCGUUCAUAACGUCUUGUUCUGCAGGGAGAACAGGUGCUUCACCUAGCGGUGCUUGUAGGACAUAAUCUUUCUUGGCAGCUAUGAGGAUGAUCCUCAGGUUCCGGACCCAGUCCGUAUAGUUCCUGCCAUCAUCUUUCAGCUUGGUUUUCUCUAGGAACGCGUUGAAGUUGAGGACAACAUUGGUCAUUUGAUCUACAAGACAUAUUGUAAAUAUUUUAGACUAAGUUCAUGAUAAUUAAGUUCAUCUAAUCAAAUUAUUCAGUGAACUCCCACUUAGAUAGACAUCCCUCCAGUCAUCUAAGUAUAACAUGAUCCGAGUUAACUAGGCCGUGUCCGAUCAUCACGUGAGACGGACUAGUCAACAUCGGUGAACAUCUUCAUGUUGAUCGUAUCUUCUAUACGACUCAUGCUCGACCUUUCGGUCUUCUAUGUUCCGAGGCCAUGUCUAUACAUGCUAGGCUCGUCAAGUCAACCUAAGUGUUUGCAUGUGUAAAUCUGUCUUACACCCGUUGUAUGUGAACGUUGGAAUCUAUCAUACCCGAUCAUCACGUGGUGCUUCGAAACAACGAACUGUCGCAACGGUGCACAGUUAGGGGGAACAUUUUCUUGAAAUUAUUAUGAGGGAUCAUCUUAUUUACUACCGUCGUUCUAAGUAAACAAGAUGCAAAAACAUGAUAAACAUCACAUGCAAUAAUAAUAGUGACAUGAUAUGGCCAAUAUCACAUAGCUCCUUUGAUCUCCAUCUUGGGGCUCCAUGAUCAUCUUGUCACCGGCAUGACACCAUGAUCUCCAUCAUCAUCGUGUCUCCAUGAAGUUGCUCGCCAACUAUUACUUCUACUACUAUGGCUAACACGUUUAGCAAUAAAGUAAAGUAAUUUACAUGGCGUUUCUCAAUGACACGCAGGUCAUACAAAAAAAUAAAGACAACUCCUAUGGCUCCUGCCGGUUGUCAUACUCAUCGACAUGCAAGUCGUGAUUCCUAUUACAAUAGCAUGAACAUCUCAUACGUCACAUAUAUAUCAUUCAUCAUUCAUCACAACUUUGGCCAUAUCACAUCACAAAACACUUGCUGCAAAAACAAGUUAGACGUCCUCUAAUUGUUGUUGCAAGUUUUACGUGGCUGAAAUAGGGUUCUAGCAAGAAUGUUUUCUUACCUACGUGAAAGCCACAACGUGAUUUGUCAACUUCUAUUUACCCUUCAUAAGGACCCUUUUCAUCGAAUCCGCUCCAACUAAAGUGGGAGAGACAGACACCCGCCAACCACCUUAUGCAACUAGUGCAUGUUAGUCGGUGGAACCGGUCUCACAUAAGCGUACGUGUAAGGUUGGUCCGGGCCGCUUUAUCCCACAAUACCGCUGAAGCAAAAUAAGACUAGUAGCGGCAAGAAAGUUGACAACAUCUACGCCCACAACAAAUUAUGUUCUACUCGUGCAAAGAGAACUACACAUAGACCUAGCUCAUGAUGCCACUGUUGGGGAACGUUGCAGAAAACAAAAAAAUUCCUACGGUUUCACCAAGAUCCAUCUAUGAGUUCAUCUAGCAAGGAGUGAUCGGAUGCAUCUACAUACCUUGUAGAUCAUGAGCGGAAGCGUUCAAAGAACGGGGAUGAGGGAGUCGUACUCGACGUGAUCCAAAUCACCGGAGAUCCUAGCGCCGAACGGACGGCACCUCCGCGUUCAACACACGUACGGUCAGCGUGACGUCUCCUCCUUCUUGAUCCAGCAAGGGGAAGGAGAGGUUGAGGAAGAUGGCUCCAGCAGCAGCACGACGGCGUGAUGGUGGUGGAGAAGCAGUACUCCGACUAGGCUUCGCCGAGCUCUACGGAGGAGGAGGAGGUGUUGGAGGGGAGAGGGAGGCGCCAAGGGCAUGGGUGCGGCUGCCCUCCCUCCCCCCUCUAUAUAUAGGGUCCCCAAGGGGGGCGCCGGCCCUGGAGAUCCAAUCUCCCAAGGGGCGGCGGCCAAGGGGGGUGGAGUGCCCCCCAAGGCAAGUGGGGCGCCCCCCACCCUAGGGUUCCCAACCCUAGGAGCAGGGGGAAGGCCCAAGGGGGGCGCACCAGCCCACUAGGGGCUGGUUCCCCUCCCACUUCAGCCCAUGGGGCCCUCCGGGAUAGGUGGCCCCACCCGGUGGACCCCCGGGACCCUUCCGGUGGUCCCGGUACAAUACCGGUGACCCCGAAACUUGUCCCGAUUGCCGAAAUAGCACUUCCUAUAUAUAAUUCUUUACCUCCGGACCAUUCCGGAACUCCUUGUGACGUCCAGGAUCUCAUCCGAGACUCCUAACAACUUUCGGGUUACUGCAUAUUCAUAUCCCUACAACCCUAGCGUCAUCGAACCUUAAGUGUGUAGACCCUACGGGUUUGGGAGACAUGUAGACAUGACCGAGAUGGCUCUCCGGUCAAUAACCAACAAUGGGAUCUAGAUACCUAUGUUGGCUCCCACAUGCUCCUCGAUGAUCUCAUCGGAUGAACCACGAUGUCGAGGAUUCAAGCAACCCCGUAUACAAUUCCCUUUGUCAAUCGGUACGUUACUUGCCCGAGAUUCGAUCGUCGGUACAAUACCUCGUUCAAUCUCGUUACCGGCAAGUCACUUUACUCGUACUGUAAUGCAUGAUCCCGUGACCAGACACUUGGUCACUUUGAGCUCAUUGUGAUGAUGCAUUACCGAAUGGGCCCAGAGAUACCUCUCCGUCAUACGGAGUGACAAAUCCCAGUCUUGAUCCGUGUCAACCCAACAGACACUUUCGGAGAUACCUGUAGUAUACCUUUAUAGUCACCCAGUUACGUUGUGACGUUUGGUACACCCAAAGCACUCCUACGGUAUCCGGGAGUUACACGAUCUCAUGGUCUAAGGAAAGGAUACUUGACAUUGGAAAAACUCUAGCAAACGAACUAUACAAUCUUGUGCUAUGUUUAGGAUUGGGUCUUGUCCAUCACAUCAUUCUCCUAAUGAUGUGAUCUCGUUAUCAAUGACAUCCAAUGUCCAUUGUCAGGAAACCAUGACUAUCUGUUGAUCAACGAGCUAGUCAACUAGAGGCUUACUAGGGACAUGUUGGUUUCUAUUUAUUCACACAUGUAUUACGAUUUCCGGAUAACACAAUUAUAGCAUGAAUAAAAGACAAUUAUCAUGAACAAGGAAAUAUAAUAAUAAUGCUUUUAUUAUUGCCUCUAGGGCAUAUUUCCAACACUCAAUUCCAUUUUUUAUAGUUUUCUUUUAUAAACUAAACUAGUGAUAAAACAAGAAACAAAAAGAUUCGACUUCAAGAUCUAAAGAUAUACCUUCAAGCGCUAACCUCCCCGGAACGGCGCCAGAAAAGAGCUUGAUGUCUACUACACAACCUUCUUCUUGUAGACGUUGUUGGGCCUCCAAGUGCAGAGGUUUGUAGGAUAGUAUAAAAUUUCCCUCAAGUGGAUGACCUAAGGUUUAUCAAUCCAUAGGAGGCGUAGGAUAAAUAUGGUCUCUCUCAAGCAACCCUGCAACCAAAUAACAUGGAGUCUCUUGUGUCCCCAACACACCCAAUACAAUGGUAAAUUGUAUAGGUGCACUAGUUCGGCGAAGAGAUGGUGAUACAAGUGGUAUAUUGAUGGUAGAUAAAGGUUUUUGUAAUCUGAAAAUAUAAAUACAGCAAAGUAACUAAUGAUAAAAGUGAGCGUACACGCUAUUGCAAUGCUAGGAAAAAAGGCCUAGGGUUCAUACUUUCACUAGUGCAAGUUCCCUCGACAAUAAUAACAUAAUUGAAUCACAUAAUUAUCCCUCAACAUGCAACAAAGUGUCACUCCAAAGUCACUAAUAGUGGAGAACGAACGAAGAGAUUAUGGUAGGGUAUGAAACCACCUCAAAGUUAUUCUUUCCAAUCAAUCCGUUGGGCUAUUCCUAUAAGUGUCACAAACAACCCUAGAGUUUGUACUAGAAUAACACCUUAAGACACAAAUCAACCAAAACCCUAAUGUCACCUAGAUACUCCAAUGUCACCUCAAGUAUCCGUGGGUAUGAUUAUACGAUAUGCAUCACACAAUCUCAGAUUCAUCUAUUCAACCAACACAUAGAACCUCAAAGAGUGCCCUAAAGUUUCUAUCGGAGAAUCACGACGAAACCGUGUGCCAACCCCUAUGCAUAGGUUCAUGGGAGGAACCCGCAAGUUGAUCACCAAAACAUACAUCAAGAGAAUCACGUGGUAUCCCAUUGUCACCACAGAUACGCAUGGCAAGACAUACAUCAAGUGUUCUCAAAUCUUUAAAGACUCAAUCCGAUAAGAUAACUUCAAAGGGAAAACUCAAUCCAUUACAAGAGAGUAGAGGGGGGAGAAAACAUCAUAAGAUCCAACUAUAAUAGCAAACUCACAAUACAUCAAGAUCGUACCACCUCAAGAACACGAGAGAGAGAGAGAGAGAGAGAGAGAGAGAGAGAGAGAGAGAUCAAACACAUAGCUACUGGUACAUACCCUCAGUCCCGAGGGAGAACUACUCCCUCCUCGUCAUGGAGAGCAUCGGGAUGAUGAAGAUGACCACCGAAGAGGGAUUCCCCCUCCGGCAGGGUGCUGGAACGGGUCUCGAUUGUCUUUCGGUGGCAACGAAGGCUUCUGGCGGCAGAACUUCCGAUCUAUUGUGAUCCCCGAUCGUUUUAGGGUAUAUGGGUAUAUAUAGGAGGAAGAAGUACGUCAGGGGAGCCACGAGGGGCCCAUGAGGGUCGAGGGCGUGCCCAGGGGGGUGGGCGCGCGCCCCUACCUCGUGGCUUCCUCGAAGCUUCCUUGACGUGGACUCCAAGUCUCCCGGGUUGCUUUCCUUCCAAAAAUAAGUUCCGUGAAGUUUCAAGUCAAUUGGACUCCGUUUGAUUUUCCUUUUCUGCGAUACUCUAAAACAAGGAAAAAAAAGAAGCUGGCACUGGGUUCUAGGUUAAUAGGUUAGUCCCAAAAAAUCAUAUAAAAUAGCAUAUAAAUGCAUAUGAAACAUCCAAGGUUGAUAAUAUAAUAGCAUGGAACAAUCAAAAAUUAUAGAUACGUUGGAGACGUGUCAACGCCGCGUGGGUCGGGCAUCGUGAGCUUACGGUAGGCAUAAUGUGGUACCGCGUUGAAUUGAGCGAACGCGGUUCGUCUGAGUAGUGCCUGAUAAUCACUGCGAAAGGGGACGAUGUCGAAGAUUAACUCUUCGGCACGGUAAUUGUCUGGUGAUCCGGAGACUACUUCAAGGGCGAAGGAGCCUGUACAGCUGGCCUCCAUACCUGGUAUGAUACCUCUGAAGGUGGUUUUAGUGGGAUUGAUCACCGAAUGAUCGAUGACCAUCUUGCGCACUGUGUCCUAGUAAAGUAGGUUUAGACUGCUCCCUCCGUCCAUAAGGACUCGCGUGAGGUGGAACCCGUCAAUUAUUGGGUCGAGGACUAGUGCGGCUGGAUUGCCCUGAUUGGUGUUAACCGGACGAUCCGUGCGGUUGAAGGUGAUCGGCCCUAGUUUAUAUUGUGGGACGACUGGUUCCGUUAAGUCGACAUCCCUAAGGGUGUGCGUCCGGUCCGGGUUGGGAGUGUAGGUGCCGUUUACUACGUUCACCGUUUGGAUUUGCGGGGGAAAUUUCUUUUGCCCUCCUGUACUCGAUGAUCUGGGCUCCUCGUCGCCAUCGUCGCUUUGAGACCCCUUAUCUUUGUUUUUGGCACCUGACCUGCCGGCUUGUUUGAAGAUCCAGCAUUCUCUGUUGGUAUGAUUGGCUGGUGUUCAUGCGGUGCCAUGAAUUUGGCAUGGGCGGUUGAGUAUGCGGUACAGGCUGGACGGACCCGAAUUUGGCAUGGGAGGGGAAAGCCAGGGUUCGUCCCGUUCGGGUUCGACCCGACCGAGCCACAAACAACGACCGAGCUGGGUGGGCCCGAGUCAGUGGCGUGGCGCGCGCGGGUAUGCCACCAUGUCACCUGACACGUGGGCCCGCUCGGUUAGAUUCAUGGUCAAUACGUGCUUAUACGGCUGUCAAACCGUUUUGCAACACUUAGGCUUAGAGCUGGUACUGAAUUGCAAAAAUUGUGUCUAAUGGUACUGAUUCGUUACGACGUGCCGAAGUGUAGUAGUUUCUUGCAAUUAACUCAAACUCUACGGUUAUAUCACCUCGAUGUGUGAGUCAAUGUGUUUGAACCAAUCAAGAGUUGCAUGUGAAUGUUUCAAGUGUGAUUAAUAGGUCCGUGUUAUAACAGCCACACCUUGCGAAAGAAGAUAGCAAACACCCAAUCAUGUCUAGUAGUUCGAUAUGGGCGCAACUAUGGGUAGCUUAUAGCGACACGGAAGCCAGCGUUUCCUAAAGAAACUCUCGGUUGGGCCGCCCUAGAGACAAAUUAUUUUUCUCUCAUUUUUUCUUAAUAUUAUUUAUUUCUAUUUUAAAAAAUAAAAGUAAAUAUAUUCCACAAACAAAUACUGAAAUUCUGAAAAAAUGUUGGUCCAUUGUUAAAAAAAUAUUGAUAGCAUUAAACAAAUCAUGGUAACAAAAUAAUCUACACAUAUUUAAAAAAUUGUACGUGAAAUUAUAAUGAAUGUUAAAUUUGUUUAAAAAUGUUCCUAAUGUAAUGUACAACAUGAAACAAAUUAUACAUCAAAACAUAUAUUUGAAAAUUGUUAAUUGUUUAUUUGAAAAAUGUUAAAUGUGUAUAGAAAAAAAGGUUCCUGAUAUAUAAGACAAAUGCAUGAAGUACAUGCAAUUUUUUUUACAUCCAAAGAUAUAUUUUAAAAAUAUUAAUCAUGUAUUUUAAAACUGUUAAAUGUUUAUAGAGAAAAAAUGCUCCUGAUGCAUACGAAACAAUUUCCAAUGUGUAUGAAAAAAUUAGACAUGAAAUAAGUAUUUUAAAAAAAAAUUAAUGAUUCUAUUUAAAAAUAUUUCUCAUGUAGAUGGAAAGAAAACUCGACUUAAAAAAGACUCAAAAAGAAAAAGAACGUACAGAGAGCAAAUUAGAAACAACUGAGUGAACUAGCGAUAUGCGAGAACACGUUAAUGGUCCAGCCCAUACAUGAGGACUCCAGAGGUGAGCCUGAAUAGGUGUGAUAUAGCUAUGACGAUUUGACACCCUUCAUAGCUUCACGAAUGCUAUAUCUCGCGCAAAGCGAGAUUAGCAUUUGCCACGCCUGAAGGUGCAAGAAUAGCAUCAGGUCGUUGUAAGGUUUGCAAUCCUACCAUCAGAGCUUCUAUCCGAUUUAAAUCAUGUUUCUGGCAACCUUGGGUCAUUCGCUCGCGCUCAAGCCAUUCGCUCACAGGUUCCACACACUAGUUUGGUUACUUUUUUUUCUUAUUUUCUUUCUUCACCGGUUUUCUUUCAUUUUUUGAAAAAAAAAAUUCAUCGGUUUUCUUUGUGUCUUUCAUGUUUUACUCUUGUUUUCCUUUUUUACUCGUUUAUCUAUCCUUUUUUUUCUUUGUUUCUUUCUCAGUGUUCUUUGUUUAGGGUUUAGGGAUUUCUUUGUUUUCCUUUCUUUUAAUGUCAACCUUUUGACAUAUAUUUUUUGUAUAUAUCAAAAAUAUUUUUGAUAGAGAGGUUUAACAGUUUUCAAAUACAUGAUUACCCUUUUUAAAGUUAUAUUUUUUGACAUCUACUUGUUCCAUAAACAUAGUGAUGGGGUUAUACAUAAGGGAUGGGCCCAAGUACACAUAUGUCCCAGCCAAAGGCCCAGGGUAUUCAAGGAUACGGUCCCAAAGACAAUGGGGCAUUGGAGAUACAAGCCCAAGGCAUCAGAUACAAGGGGAAUACUCGCUAAGGAGUCAAGUGUCUAUAGUCGGAUUACACACCCCCUGACAGACAAGACUCAAUAGUCGGUCAUGAGAAAGAUAUGAGCAGUAAGAUCAUCUACAGUCGGACAUCAGCAAGAUAGGAGCAGUCGGACCAUCUACAGUCGGCUACGUCCUAGGAUGAUGUGACCCUCAUGAUGCAUUCAUCGCCGUUACAUAACUGACUAGUUAAAUACGCCAGUUAGUAUUAAUAAUAGCCACGAACAGUCGAUCAUGCAUGUGACCAUCAAUAGUAUUUACACCAGCCUGUUAUGGCACUCCCUCCUAGCGCACUCCAUAUAAGACAAGAGUAGGACAUCACACGGAGGGUUGAACUCUCUCACAUUGUAACCUACGCCAAGAGCGAGAUCACACAGGAGUAGGGCGUUACCAACACCAUAGAGGGCCCAAACCUAUAUAAUUCCUUGUGUUUAAUCCCAUCUGCUUUACAUACCAAUUAGCUUAUAAUUGCCUCUACAUUCACAUCACCAUAGUAUUGUCAUGGUUAUAUCCAUGACAAGAACUAAUUUUUUUUACAUUAUAUAUAAAAAAAUAAUAUUUUUAGAUGCAUGGUUUCUUCCAUACACAUUAUACAUGUUUGUAUACAUAUCAGGACCAUUUAUAUAUACACAUUAAAAAAACUAAUUACAUGAUUACUUUUUUUAAAAUGUAUACUUUUAUGUCUAAUAUUUUCAUACAUACUGUACAUUUUUUGUACAUCAGGAACCUUUUUAUAUUUACAUUUAACAUUUUCAAAUACAUAAUUAAUAUUUUUUACACAUAUAUUUUUAUAUCUACUUUUCCCUUAAACAUUAUACAUUUUUUUAUACAUCAGGAACAUUUUUUAUAUACCAAUUCAACAGUUUUGAAAUACAUGAUUAACAUGUCUCAUAUAUAUGUUUGUGUCUAUUUUUUCAUACAAAAUAUACAGUUUUUUAUUAAUUAGAAACAUGUUUCUGUACAUGUUUAAUAUUUUCUUAUAAUGCGCAAUUAACAUUUUCAACUUUUCUGUAUAAAGUGAAUUUUACAAUAGAUAUAUUCAGAAUAUUUCAUAAAAAAGGCAAAGUAAAAAAACAAAAAAAAUGCAAAUAUGUGUAAAAGGAAGGAAGAAACCGUAGAAGGCAUGUGUAGGCGCUGUGGCGGCCCAAUAGGUCUGCUGCACAUCCUACUAUCUUGUGUCAAUCGAGACAUAGGCUUGCCCUCUUAAGGAGCAACUAACCAACGGUUACCCCUUGGCGAGCUCCUGCAAGGGUCAUUGUUGUGGUAUGAGAGCACGCCAAGUGGUCCGUCCAACUGCUGUCACAUGUCGUGUGUUAGGUGCUUCCUGUGGAUUUCAUUUUCAUUUUUUAUUUUUUGUACGCGUUUUCGGGUUUCUGAUUGUCUUUUCAAUGGGUUUUGGAUUUCUGCUUUUUCCAUGGUUUUCUCUAGAUCAUGAAAGAAAAAUAUCUUUUUAUUUUCUUAUGAAGCACAACCCUGCUUCUAAAAAAACAAUUUUAUGCUUUCACGAGAAGCACAAUUUUUGUUUCUCAUGUAAUCACAAAAUUGCUUGCAGCAGGCGCACCACAUGUGCUUCCAUGAUUAGCAUAGCUAUGCUUCCACGCGAAUCAAAUAUGUGCUUAUGCUACAAGCACAACCUAUGCUUCCAUAUGCUUCUCGAAAAGAGAAAAGGCACACCCUGUGUUUUCACGAGAAGUACAUUUGUGCAUCCCUGAGAACUGUAGCCUUGCUUCCGUGAGAAGCACAGUCUAUCUAUUACCUAAUAUUAAAAGAUAGAAGAUCUCAUAGUUCUCCAUCAGUCACCUCUUCAUAAACCGUUGGUUUUGUGUUAAUCUUAUAGAUUGACGGCCGAGAUUUAAAAAUAGAUUUGCACAGGAAAAAAAAGAUCCGCAUUGACGAUCCAUCGUAGGUAUCCAUCCAUCCAACUUUCUUUGUUCUGCCCACAUCACGCUUGGUAAAAAAAGAAAAAAAAUCAGAAACCCAUCGAUGCACGAUUGAGUAAGCCGGGAUAAAAAACAGCUCAAUAAAAUAUGGCCAGCCACGCGCGAUCUUAGGAGAAAAAUUGUUUGCCACAUGAUCUAUCUCCUAGCUACGCCGAUCCUCAACGGCGAUCAUGCCAAGAUGUUCGCCAGGAUCCGCAACUCCGUCGACCACUCGGGUGACAUGCCACAGCGACACAACAGGGCAGCAGCGAGUGACAUGGCCGGCUUGCCGGGCCGCGCGCUCUCCGGCUCCAGGUGCGCGCGGCACACCAGACAUGACGCACAUCCAGGUAGUAAUGCAACUGCCCUCGAAGAAGUGAUGCCGGCAUUACACGCACCGCGUUGAGGUUCUGCAGCCACACACUCCACCGACGUUGCCCUCGCCUUGCAGCCGCUCUUCCUCUUACAACUGGUGCUCCUGCAGCCAGUGGCGGAGACAGGGGGGACCAGCAGGGCCCUGGCCCCCCCUAACAGCAGAGAUAUAGUGCUAAUUUGCAGAUGAAUAGUGCUAAAAUUAGUGAUUAAUUUCUGUCAAAUGCAUGUUUUUCAUUGGCUUGGCCCUCCCUAAGCAGUUUUAACAUCAUUCGGCCUGGUUGAUACAAUUUUCCUGGCUCCGCCAUUGCCUCCAACUGCCCCAGCUACCCUGGGGCUGGGGCGACGAUGUCGGCGCCUCGCGCGCUCUGUAGGUGAAGGUGGGGAGCGCGGGGAUGUCCUUGAUGCUCGGCCUGAGGUGGGUUGCCAGAGGCGGGUCGUCGCCGGUGCGGUGGAGCUUGCGCCACUCAGACAAGAGCGACCGGCCAUAGCGGACGGCCACGUACAAUACGACACUGACAAGGACAAUGAUGAUGAUGUACAACAGCAUCAGGAAGGAGAACAACAUGCUCGUCCUUAGGGGACAUGCGCCGACGCGUCCGGCACUCCGACGCAAUGGUGGUGUAUGCGCCGGUCAACAUGCAGUCCAUGCACACGUCGUCAUGGGCGGUGGCGACUCGGCCUACAUCUCCCUCCUGCCCUAUCGGUUCGCCAUUCUCCCGAGCGUCCACAACGCACACUCGCCGGUGGCCGCCACUCUAGAAGUCGAGUCUAGACCGUUCGCCCCAGGGAUCGUAGCUCAGCGCUCAUGGAGCCCUGCUCCAGUGCUCCCCCUAACCUAAUUUUGAAGGAGUAUUUUUGUCCCCGCAAAUUUGUUUUUUUUCUGGCCCGCCGCCGCCCAGAUCCAAGCCCUGUCUAGUCCUGUAUAACCCAGAACGUAUACGUACAGUACCCUGGUUCGAAAAAAAAAACAUCACACGACCCCACGUCCACGUAAGACCUGCCGAAUCCAAUCAUUCACACGAGCAGCUCCAUCAAUCUUGCGAGCAUUGACGCAGCUCCAUAAGUCACGUAGUAGAUCUCCAGCGGCGGCUAUCUCGUCGCCGGCGAUCUCGUCGGACAGCGGGCGCGACAACGUCGUGAAUCUCUAACGAGCGCGCACAGGUACCGCAUCCCGCGUCCCCCCUCUAGUCUCGCUCGCGGCAACAUCGAACGAACUGCCGCCGCCAGUGGUAGUGGUUAACCUAGCGGGGCGGGUAACCUAGCUACCUGGCGGCGCAUGUGAUCGUGGAUCUUGUUCCGGUAGUGCUGCUCCUCGUGAUCUGGGUUCACGUAGCGUCGGUUGCCGUCGGCUGUGCGCACCACUGGUAUCGUUAUUUGAUGUGGCGGCUAACCUAGGUAUCCGACGGCAGAGGUAAUCACAGAUCAAGCUAGGUUUUGAGAUCGUGCAGUUCCUCGCGAUUGAAAGUGAUCGCGACGGGUGCCGUGGCCAUCUUCCUUACUAAGUUGGGCAGAUCUGAACGGCCUCGGUUGCGGUUGUUUACAUAACAUCCGUGAUCGUGUGCUAUGUGUUUUAUAUUUCAUCAUUGAUAAUGUUUGCACAUGUGAUGAUACAUAAUAUUGGUUGUAGGAAAUGGCGGACGAGGAGUUAACUGAUAUCAUGGUAGACAUGGAGUUUGGAGAACUGAUGAAAGACUGGAUAGAAGAUUGGUCAGAUGAUGAAAAUUCAGAUCGUGAAGAUCGGUCAGAGAAUGGGAACGAAUGGGACGAUCUUAUUGUGAGUGGCAUUGUCAUGUUGUAAUUUUUUGGUGGCAUCCGACAACAUUAAAUCUUUGUGUUGAAAAUUUAUAGAUCGAUGAGCUUGAUGAUGAUCAGGAAAACAACUCAGAGCUCUCGAAUGAAGAUUACAUUAGUCAGGUACGUAAGUGAAAAAGAUUGUUGGCAUGCAAAUUGAAUUUCUUCUGGAAUAUUAUAUGAUAAGUAAUUAUGUAUUUGUGUUGUAUUUUUCAGUUCAUUCUCGAAUGUCAUAAUGCGUAUGACUAUUACGGUGAAUCCGACGCGGAGACAGGCCUUAACAACGAAUCAUUAGAUGCACCUGGUUCUGGGGAGUCCGAGUCGUCGGUCAUCAUGAGUGAGGUAUGUGUGUAAUCAAUGUUCUAUGGAAGUAAGUAAUGUUAAACCUUAGAAAUAUGUUUUCAUGGUUGUGGUUUGAUUGUGUAGGUGACACAAAAUGAUGGGGCAAAGAAUGUCCAAGAUACUGCCAGUGCAGAUGAUAAGAGGGAUAUGUUCAUGCAGAUAAUGGAAAUGACCUUUAUGUCUCACGAUGCUGCGUAUGAUUUCUACAACAGCUAUGCUAGAGAUAAUGGUUUCAGCAUUAGAAAGAAUAAGGUCAGGUAUAGCAAAACAGAGUCACGUCAUAUGCGUUAUAGGCGGUUUGUUUGUUCAAGACAAGGGAAACGUGACAGCAAGUUGCUAACCGAGGAAGGACACAGCCGUAGGCUCAGAGCCGAGACACGCUGCUUUUGCGAAGCGCACCUGACCGUCAAGCUUGACCAAAAGCAUGGGGUUUGGUAUGUUGAAAGUUUUGAGGACAAGCAUAGCCAUAUGUUGGCAGGACCGGACGAGGUACCUUUUCUUUGGUCCCACAGAAAAAUCAAAGAGUACCAGAAGCAUGAGAUAAUGUCCACGGCUCGGAGAGCUCGGGAAUCCGGACAUAGUUGGUCCUCAAGAUAGAGGAAAGGUCGCGACAUUGUUCCUCCACCACUGCAAUAUGAUGGGUGACCGGUGGAGAGUUAAUCUCCCUUUGAUCGGGUUUAAGCCCAAUCCGAUCAUAGUCCGUAGCGACUCCCAAGGCGGCGAUGCGAUCCAAGAGCUCGUUUAAGGGGGCGAGCUCCAUUGGAUCCAUCUGUUCGGCGAGUGCCGAUUUGACGUGGAGGCUGUUUUCGAUGACCCGAGAAGUCAUCAUCGGCUCGGCGGCCGAACAUGCGGUCAUGAUGAAACCGCCUAGCCGGAGAGUUUGGCCGACAACCAAAGCUCCCCCAACAGUAGUACCGUCUUUAAAGACGAGACGAGACAUUCUUCCUUCUGGCAACGACACAGAGGAACUCUCAAUGAAAGCUUCAAUGUCGGUGUCAAAACCAGCGGAUCUCGGGUAGGGGGUCCCGAACUAUGCGUCUAAGGCGGAUGGUAACAGGAGGCAGGGAACACGAUGUUUUACCUAGGUUCGGGCCCUCUUGAUGGAGGUAAAGCCCUAUGUCCUGCUUGAUUAAUAUUGAUGAUAUGGGUAGUACAAGAGUAGAUCUACCAGGAGAUCAGAGAGGCUAAACCCUAGAAGCUAGCCUAUGGUAUGAUUGUAUGUUGUCCUACGGACUAAAACCCUCCGGUUUAUAUAGACACCGGAGGGGGCUAGGGUUACACAAGGUCGGUUACAAAGGAGAAGAUGUACAUAUCCGUAUUGCCUAGCUUGCCUUCCACGCCAAGUAGAGUCCCAUCCGGACACGAGACGAAGUCUUCAAUCUUGUAUCUUCAUAGUCCAACAGUCCGGUCAAAGGAUAUAAUCCGGCUGUCCGGAGCCCCUAAUUCAGGACUCCCUCAGGCCCCCUGUUGCUCCACCGACGUACUCCUUCCUCCUAUAUAUACCUAUGUACCCCCAAAUGAUCAGAUACGGAGCCAAAACCCUAAUUCCACCGUCGUAACUUUCUGUAUCCACCGCCGGAGGGGGCAUCGAUCAUGGAGGGCUUCUACAUCAACACCAUAACCUCUCCGAUGAAGUGUGAGUAGUUUACCUCAGACCUACGGGUCCAUAGUUAGUACCUAGAUGGCUUCUUCUCUCUUUUUGGAUAUCAAUACAAUGUUCUCCCCCUCUCUUGUGGAGAUCUAUUCGAUGUAAUCUUCUUUUUGCGGUGUGUUUGUUGAGACCGAUGAAUUGUGGGUUUAUGAUCAAGUCUAUCUAUGAAUAAUAUUUGAAUCUUCUCUGAAUUCUUUUAUGUAUGAUUGGUUAUCUUUGCAAGUCUCUUCGAAUUAUCAGUUUGGUUUGUCCUACUAGAUUGAUCUUUCUUGCAAUGGGAGAAGUGCUUAGCUUUGGGUUCAAUCUUGCGAAGUCCUUUCCCGGUGACAGUAGGUGCAGCAAGGCACGUAUUGUAUUGUUGCCAUCGAGGAUAACAAGAUGGGGUUUUCUUCAUAUUGCAUGAGUCUAUCCCUCUACAUCAUGUCAACUUGCUUAAGGCGUCACUCUAUUUUUAACUUAAUACUCUAGAUGCAUGCUGGAUAGCGGUCCAAGAGUGGAGUAAUAGUAGUAGAUGCAGGCAGGAGUCGGUCUACUUGUCUCGGAUGUGAUGCAUAUAUACAUGAUCAUACCUAGAUAUUCUCAUAACUAUGCUCAAUUCUGUCAAUUGCUCAACAGUAAUUUGUUCACCCACCGUAGAAUACUUAUGCUCCCGAGAGAAGCCACUAGUGAAACCUAUGGCCCCCGGGUCUAUCUUUAUCAUAUUAAUCUCCUACCACUUAGUUAUUUCCUUUGCUAUUUACUUUGCCUUUAUUUUACUUUGCAUCUUUAUCAUAAAAAUACCAAAAAUAUUAUCUUUAUCAUAUCUAUCAUAUCUCACUCUCGUAAGUGGCCUUAUAGGGAUUGACAACCCCUAUUUGCGUUGGUUGCGAGGAUUUAUUUGUUUUGUGCAGGUACGAGGGACUCGCGUGCAGCCUCCUACUGGAUUGAUACCUUGGUUCUCAAAAACUGAGGGAAAUACUUACGCUACUUUGUUGCAUCAUCACUUCCUCUUCGGGGAAAACCAACACAGUGCUCAAGAGGUAGCAAGAAGGAUUUCUGGCGCCGUUGCCGGGGAGGUCUACGCAAAAGUCAACAUACCAAGUACCCAUCACAUACCCUUAUCUCCCGCAUUACAUUAUUUGCCAUUUGCCUCUCGUUUUCCUCUCACCCACUUCACCCUUGCUGUUUUAUUCGCCCUCUCUCUCUCUAUCCUCCCUCUCUUUCUCUAUUUGCCUCUUUUUGCCCGCUUGCUUUUUGUUUGCUUGUGUGUUAGUUUGUUUGCUUGUCGUUAUGGCUAGUCCCUUACCUUCUCCGUUGUCUCCCAAGAAUGAAAUUUUAAAUUUUAAGCAAAGGGAGGGAGAAAAUCUAAAAGAUGCUUCGUAUAGAAUUUGCAAUGCUCAAAAUAGAUCAACUAGGAAGCAAUCUACUUCCGUUCUUCUUUGCAAUUUUUAUGUAGGCAUUACUCCUUGGCACCGUUAUGUUCUUGAUACUAUUACCGGAGGGAACUUUUUGGGUAGCCAUACUUUUGAUUCUUAAAAUGCUAUGUUAGAUUUAUUUGUUUCACCCCCUCUCUUGGUUAAUGGAACUAUAUUAACUUUGGAGCAUGUAAUGCAACGGCUUGAAAUUAUUGAAAAUAAGGUUGCUACCAUAGAAUUAAUUGAAAAUUUGGAUAUGGAUCUAAAGUAGGAGUUACUUUGAAAGAUAUUAAAGAAAAGGAACCCAUAGUUAAUGAGAAAAUAAAUCAUGAUUCCACUAGGAUCGAUAAACUUGAAGGUAUUAUUACCAACUUGGGAACCGCUUUUUCUUCUGUAAAGAAUACUCCAAGUCCUCCCAGUAAAAUUACCAAGCUUAUGUAUGUUCCUAAAAAUAAGGGUGAAUCCUCUAGUAAGGAAAAUGCGGAUCUCAAAUCUAGAAGUAUUCAUCCCAAUCUUUUUACUAUCAUUAAGGAACCAUUUGUUACAAAUGAGUUUUUUGAUGUUGUGCCUAAAAGUUUGAUAAUUAAUAAAAAGAAAGAAAUUCCUAAAGAUGGUAGAUGCCUCAUUGAAUAAUUACCUACCAAAGAUGGCAAUACUUAGAUCUAUCCCUGCUUGUUAUGCCUAGCUAGGGGCGUUAAACGAUAGCGCUUGUUGGGAGGCAACCCAAUUUUAUUUUUAUUCCUUGAGUUUUGCUCCUGUUUAGUAAUAGAUAAUUAUCUAGCCUCUGUUAUGAUUGUGUUUUUUGUGUUUAAAUUAGUGUUUGUGCCAAGUAGAACCGUUGGGAAGACUUGGGGAAAGUCUUGUUGAAUUUGCUGUAAAAACAGAAACUUUAGCGCUCACAAGAACUGCUGUCAUUUUUAUUUGAAAAGUGAUAUUUAGUUCAUUCUUUUUGCAUAUGAUUAAUAUAUAAAUUCCUCACGUCCAGAAAAUUAUUUUAGAAUUUUUGGGGUUCCAUAUCUUGCGCUAGCUACAGAUUACUACAGACUGUUCUGUUUUUGACAGAUUCUGUUUUUCGUGUGUUGUUUGCUUAUUUUGAUGAAUCUAUGGCUAGUAAAAUGGUUUAUAAACCAUAGAUAAGUUGGAAUACAGUAGGUAUAACACAAAUAUAAAUAAAUAAUGAGUUCAUUACAGUACUUUGAAGUGGUCUUUUAUUUUCUUUCGCUAACGGAGCUCACGAGAUUCUCUACUUUAAGUUUUGUGUUGUGAAGUUUUCAAGUUUUGGGUAAAGAUUUGAUGGAUUAUGGAACAAGGAGUGGCAAGAGCCUAAGCUUGGGGAUGACCAUGGCACCCCCAAGAUAAUCUAAGGACACCUAAAAGCCAAAGCUUGGGGAUGCCCCGGAAGGCAUCCCCUCUUUCGUCUACUUCUAUCGGUAACUUUACUUGGAGCUAUAUUUUUAUUCGCCACAUGAUAUGUGUUUUGCUUGGAGCGUCUUGUAUGAUUUGAGUCUUUUCUUGUUAAUUUACCACAAUCAUCCUUGCUGUACACACCUUUUGAGAGAGCCAUACAUUAUUUGGAAUUUCUUAGAAUACUCUAUGUGCUUCGCUUAUAUCUUUUGAGUUAUAUAAUUUUGCUCUAGUACUUCGCUUAUAUCUUUUAGAGCACGGUGGUGGAUUUGUUUUAUAUAAACUAUUGAUCUCUCAUGCUUCACUUAGAUCAUUUUUGAGAGUCUUAAUAGCAUGUUAAUUUGCUUAAAAUCCUAAUAUGCUAGGUAUUCAAAGUUAGUAAAAUUUCCUUAAGAGUGUUUUGAAUACUAAAGUUUGAUGCUUGAUGAUUGUUUUGAGAUAUGGAGAUAAUAAUAUCAAAGUCGUGCUAGUUGAGUAGUUGUGAAAUUGAGAAAUACUUGUGUUGAAGUUUGCAAGUCCCGUAGCAUGCACGUAUGGUAAACGUUAUGGAACAAAUUUGAAAGAUGAGGUGUUAUUUGAUUGUCUUCCUUAUGAGUGGCGGUCGGGGACGAGCGAUGGUCUUUUCCUACCAAUCUAUCCCCCUAGGAGCAUGCGCGUAGUACCGAGGUUUUUGAUGACUUGUAGAUUUUUGCAAUAAGUAUGUGAGUUCUUUAUGACUAAUGUUGAGUCCAUGGAUUAUACGCACUCUCACCCUUCCAUCCUUGCUUGCCUCUUCGGUACCGUGCAUUGCCCUUUCUCACAUUGAGAGUUGGCGCAAAGUUCGCCGGUGCAUCCAAACCCCGUGAUAUGAUACGCUCUUUCACACAUAAACCUCCUUAUAUCUUCCUCAAAACAGCCACCAUACCUACCUAUUAUGGCAUUUCCAUAGCCAUUCCGAGAUAUAUUGCCAUGCAACUUUCCAUCAUCCCGUUCAUCAUCACACAUUCAUUAUUGUCAUAUUGCUUAGCAUGAUCAUGUAGUUGAUAUAGUAUUUGUGGCAAACCCACCGUUCAUAAUUCUUUCAUACAUGUCACUCUUGGUCCAUUGCAUAUCCCGGUACACCGCCGGAGGCAUUCAUAUAGAGUCAUAUUUUGUUCUAAGUAUCGAGUUGUAAUUGUUCAGUUGUAAGAAAAAUGAAAGUGUGAUGAUCAUCAUUAUUAGAGCAUUGUCCCAGUGAGGAAAGGAUGAUGGAGACUAUGAUUUCCCCACAAGUCGGGAUGAGACUCCGGACGAAAAAAAAAGAAAAAAAGAGGCCAUAAAAAAAGAGAAAAGGCCCAAAUAAAAAAAGAGAGAGAAAAAGAGAGAAGGGACAAUGUUACUAUCCUUUUACCACACUUGUGCUUCAAAGUAGCACUAUGAUCUUCAUAGUAGAGAGUCUCUCAUGUUAUCACUUUCAUAUACUAGUGGGAAUUUUUCAUUAUAGAACCUGGCUUGUAUAUUCCAAUGAUGGGCUUCCUCAAGUGCCCUAGGUCUUCGUGAUCAAGCAAGUUGGAUGCACACCCACUAGUUUCUUUUGUUGAGCUUUCAUACAUUUAUAGCUCUAGUGCAUCCAUUGCAUGGCAAUCCCUACUUCUUGCAUUAACAUCAAUCGGUGGGCAUCUCCAUAGCCCAUUGAUUAGCCUCGUUGAUGUGAGACUUUCUCCUUUUUUGUCUUCUCCACAUAACCCCCCUCAUUAUAUUCUAUUCCACCCAUAGUGCUAUGUCCAUGGCUCGCGCUCAUAUAUUGCGUGAAAGUUUAUAGGUUUGAGAUUACUAAAGUAUGAAACAAUUGCUUGGCUUGUCAUCGGGGUUGUGUAUGAUGAGAGCAUUCUUGUGUGACGAAAAUGAAACCUGACUAAACCAUAUGAUUUUGUAGGGAUGAACUUUCUUUGGCCAUGUUAUUUUGAGAAAACAUAAUUGUUUAGUUAGUAUGCUUGAAGUAUUAUUAUUUUUAUGUCAAUAUGAACUUUUGUCUUGAAUCUUUCGAAUCUAAAUAUUCAUACCACAAUUAAGAAGAAUUACAUUAAAAUUGUGCCAAGUAGCACUCCGCAUCAAAAAUUCCGUUUUUUUCAUUUACCUACUCAAGGACGAGCAGGAAUUAAGCUUGGGGAUGCUUGAUACGUCUCCAACGUAUCUACAAUUUUUGAUUGCCCCAUGCUAUAUUAUCUACUGUUUUGGACAUUACUAGGCUUUAUUAUCCACUUUUAUAUUAUUUUUGGGACUAACCUAUUAACCGGAGGCCCAGCCCAGAAUUGUUGUUUUUUUGCCUGUUUUAGGGUUUCGAAGAAAAGGAAUAUCAAACGGAGUCCAAACGGAAUGAAACCUUCGGGAACGUGAUUUUUAGGAAGAUUAUGAUCCGGGAGACUUGGACCCUAUGUCAAGAAAAGAAACAGGAGGCCACGAGGUAGGGGGCGCGCCCCCCCCCCCCCCCCCAGGCACACCCUCCACCCUCGUGGGCCCCCUGUUUCUCCACCGACGUACUCCUUCCUCCUAUAUAUACCUAUGUACCCCCAAACGACCAGAUACGGAGCAAAAACCCUAAUUCCACUUCCGUAACUUUCUGUAUCCACGAGAUCCCAUCUUGGGGCCUGUUCCGGAGCUCCGCCGGAGGGGGCAUCGAUCACGGAGGGCUUCUACAUCAACACCAUAGCCUCCCCAAUGAAGUGUGAGUAGUUUACCUCAGACCUAUGGGUCCAUAGUUAGUACUUAGAUGGCUUCUCCUCUCUUUUUGGAUCUCAAUACAAUGUUCUCCCCCUCUCUUCUGGAGAUCUAUUCGAUGUAAUCUUCUUUUUGCGGUGUGUUUGUUGAGAUCGAUGAAUUGUGGGUUUAUGAUCAAGUCUAUCUAUGAAUAAUAUUUGAAUCUUCUCUGAAUUCUUAUGUAUGAUUGGUUAUCUUUGCAAGUAUCUUCGAAUUAUCAGUUUGGUUUGGCCUACUAGAUUGAUCUUUCUUGCAAUGGGAGAAGUGCUUAGCUUUGGGUUCAAUCUUGUGGUGUCCUUUCCCAGUGAGAGUAGGGGCAGCAAGGCACGUAUUGUAUUGUUGCCAUCGAGGAUAACAAGAUGGGGUUUUCUUCAUAUUGCAUGAGUCUAUCCCUCUACAUCAUGUCAUCUUGCUUAAGGCGUUACUCUGUUUUUAACUUAAUACUCUCGAUGCAUGCUGGAUAGCGGUCGAUGAGUGGAGUAAUAGUAGUAGAUGCAGGCAGGAGUCGGUCUACUUGUCCCGGACGUGAUGCCUAUAUACAUGAUCAUACCUAGAUAUUCUCAUAACUAUGCUCAAUUCUGUCAAUUGCUCAACAGUAAUUAGUUCAACCACCGUAGAAUACUUAUGCUCUUGAGAGAAGCCACUAGUGAAACCUAUGGCCCCCGGGUCUAUCUUUAUCAUAUUAAUCUCCUACUACUUAGUUAUUUCCUCUGCUAUUUACUUUGCCUUUAUUUUACUUUGCAUGUUUAUCAUAAAAAUACCAAAAAUAUCAUCUUUAUCAUAUUUAUCAGAUCUCACUCUCGUAAGUGGCCUUAUAGGGAUUGACAACCCCUGUUUGUGUUGGUUGCGAGGAUUUAUUUGUUUUGUGUAGGUACGAGGGACUCACGCAUAGCCUCCUACUGGAUUGAUACCUUGGUUCUCAAAAAAUGAGGGAAAUACUUACGCUACUUUGUUGCAUCAUCCCUUCCUCUUCGGGGAAAACCAACGCAGUGCUCAAGAGGUAGCAGAUAGGCAUCCAAGAUGGGUAUAAUAAAAACUAUCAUAAAAAGUGCAUUGAAUACUAUGAGAAGUGUGAUACUUGAUGAUUGUUUUGAGAUAUCAAGAUGGUGAUAUUAGAGUCAUGCUAGUUGAGUAAUUGUGAAUUUGAGAAAUACUUGUUCUAAAGUUUGUGAUUCCCCUAGCAUGGACAUAUGGUGAACCGUUAUGUGAUGAAGUCAGAGCAUGAUUUUUUAUUGAUUGUCUUCCUUAUGCGUGGCGGUCAGGGACGAGGCGAUGGUCUUUUCCUACCAAUCUACCCCCCUAGGAGCAUGCAAUGCACGUAGUACUUUGUUUCGAUAACUAAUAGAUUUUUGCAAUAAAUAUGUGAGUUCUUUAUGACUAAUGUUGAGUCCAUGGAUUAUACGCACUCUCACCCUUCCACCAUUGCUAGCCUCUCUAAUAUUGUGCACCUUUCGCUGGUAUCAUACAUCUACCAUAUACCUACCUCAAAACAGCCACCAUACCUACCUAUUAUGGAAUUUCCAUAGCCAUUCCGAGAUAUAUUGCCAUGCAACUUUCCACCGUUCCGUUUGUUAUGACACGCUUCAUCGUUGUCAUAUUUCUUUGCAUGAUCAUGUAGUUGACAUCGUAUUUGUGGCAAAGCCAUCUUUAUAAUUCUUUCAUACAUGUCUGUUGGGGAACGUUGCAGAAAACAAAAAUUUUCCUACAGUUUCACCAAGAUCCAUCUAUGAGUUCAUCUAGCAACGAGUGAUCGGAUAGCAUCUACAUACCUUUGUAGAUCACGCGCGGAAGCGUUCAAAGAAUGGGGAUGAGAAAUUCGUACUCGACGUGAUCCAAAUCACCGGAGAUCCUAGCGCCGAACGGACGGCACCUCCGCGUUCACGUACGGUCAGCGUGACGUCUCCUCCUUCUUGAUCCAGCAAGGGGGAAGGAGAGGUUGAGGAAGAUGGCUCCAGCAGCAGCACGACGGCGUGGUGGUGGUGGAGCAGCAGUACUCCGGCAGGGCUUCGCCAAGCUCGUGACGGAGGAGGAAAUGUGUUGGGGAGGGGAGGGGCUGUGCCUUGGAUGUCCUCUGCAGCCCUUCCCUCACCCCUCUAUUUAUAGGGGAAGGAGGAAGGGGGCCGGCCCCCUCUAGAUGAGAUCUAGAGGGGGGGCGGCGGCCAAGGGGAGGGGGGCUUGCCCCCCAAGCAAGGGGCGCACCCCCUUAGGGUUUCCCCCAACCCUAGGCGCAUGGGCCGUAGGGGGAGUGUGUUGGGUUUCGUUGUAAUUUCAAAAAAAUUCCUACGCACACGCAAGAUCAUGUGAUGCAUAGCAACGAGAGGAGAGUGUGAUCUACAUACCUAGUAGAUCGACAACGGAAGCGUUUGGUUGAUGUAGUCGUACGUCUUCACGAUCCAACCGAUCAAGCACCGAAACUACGUCACCUCCGAGUUCGAGCACACGUUCAGCUCGAUCACGAUCCCCGGACUCCGAUCCAGCAAAGUGUCGGGGAAGAGUUCCGUCAGCACGACGGCGUGGUGACGAUCUUGAUGCACUAUAGCAGCAGGGCUUGGCCUAAACUCCGCUACAGUAUUAUCGAGGACUAUGGUGGCUGGGGCGCCGCACACGGCUAAGGAAUAGAUCACGUGGAUCAACUUGUGUGUUUCUGGGGUGCCUCUGCCUCAGUAUAUAAAGGACCAAAGGGGGGAGGCUGGCCGGCCACAUAGGGCGCGCCAGGAGAGUCCUACUCCCUCUGGGAGUAGGAUCCCCCCCCCAAUCCUAGUUGGAAUAGGAUUCGCGGAGGGGGAAAAGAGAGAGGGGAGGCUGGCCACCUCUCCUUCUCCUAAUAGGACUAGGGGAGGGAGGGAGGCGCGCAUCCCAUCUUGGGCAGCCCCUUCUCUUUUCCGCCAAGGCCCACUAAGGCCCAUAUAGCUCGCGGGGGGUUCCGGUAACCUCCCGGUACUCCGGUAAAAUCCCGAUUUCACCCGGAACACUUCCGAUAUCCAAACAUAGGCUUCCAAUAUAUCAAUCUUUAUGUAUCGACCAUUUCGAGACUCCUCGUCAUGUUCGUGAUCACAUCCGGGACUCCGAACAACCUUCGGUACAUCAAAAUGCAUAAACUCAUAAUAUAAUUGUCAUCGUAACCUUAAGCGUGCGGACCCUACGGGUUCGAGAACAAUGUAGACAUGACCGAGACACAUCUCCAGUCAAUAACCAAUAGCGGGACCUGGAUGCCCAUAUUGGCUCCUACAUAUUCUACGAAGAUCUUUAUCGGUCAGACCGCAUAACAACAUACGUUGUUCCCUUUGUCAUCGGUAUGUUACUUGCCCGAGAUUCGAUCGUCGGUAUUCCAAUACCUAGUUCAAUCUCGUUACCGGCAAGUCUCUUUACUCGUUCUGUAAUACAUCAUUCCGCAACUAACUCAUUUAGUUGCAAUGCUUGCAAGGCUUAAGUGAUUUGCAUUACCGAGAGGGCCCAGAGAUACCUCUCCGACAAUCGGAGUGACAAAACCUAAUCUCGAAAUACGCCAACCCAACAUGUACCUUUGGAGACACCUGUAAUACUCCUUUAUAAUCACCCAGUAACGUUGUAACGUUUGGUAGUACCCAAAGUGUUCCUCCGGUAAACGGGAGUUGCAUAAUCUCAUAGUUAUAGGAACAUGUAUAAGUCAUGAAGAAAGCAAUAGCAACAUAUUAAACGAUCGGGUGCUAAGCUAAUGGAAUGGGUCAUGUCAAUCAGAUCAUUCUCUUAAUGAUGUGAUCCCUUUAAUCAAAUAACAACUCAUUGUUCAUGGUUAGGAAACAUAACCAUCUUUGAUUAACGAGCUAGUCAAGUAGAGGCAUACUAGUGACACUUUGUUUGUCUAUGUAUUCACACAUGUAUUAUGUUUCCGGUUAAUACAAUUCUAGCAUGAAUAAUAAACAUUUAUCAUGAUUAUAAGGAAAUAAAUAAUAACUUUAUUAUUGCCUCUAGGGCAUAUUUCCUUCAGUCUCCCACUUGCACUAGAGUCAAUAAUCUAGAUUACACUGUAAUGAUUCUAACACCCAUGGAGCCCUGGUGUUGAUCAUGUUUUGCUCGUGGAAGAGGCUUAGUCAACGGGUCUGCAACAUUCAGAUCCGUAUGUAUCUUGCAAAUUCUAUGUCUCCCACCUGGACUAGAUCCCGGAUGGAAUUGAAGCGUCUCUUGAUAUGCUUGGUUCUCUUGUGAAAUCUGGAUUCCUUUGCCAAGGCAAUUGCACCAGUAUUGUCACAAAAGAUUUUCAUUGGACCCGAUGCACUAGGUAUGACACCUAGAUCGGAUAUGGACUCCUUCAUCCAGACUCCUUCGUUCGCUGCUUCCGAAGCAGCUAUGUACUCCGCUUCACAUGUAGAUCCCGCUACGACGCUUUGUUUAGAACUGCACCAACUGACAGCUCCACUGUUCAAUGUAAACACAUAUCCGGUUUGCGAUUUAGAAUCGUCCGGAACAGUGUCAAAGCUUGCAUCAACGUAACCAUUUACGACGAGCUCUUUGUCACCUCCAUAUACGAGAAACAUAUCCUUAGUCCUUUUCAUGUAUUUUAGGAUGUUCUUGACGGCUGUCCAGUGAUCCACUCCUGGAUUACUUUGGUACCUCCCUGCUAGACUUAUAGCAAGGCACACAUCAGGUCUGGUACACAGCAUUGCAUACAUGAUAGAUCCUAUCGCUGAUGCAUAGGGAACAUCUUUCAUAUUCUCUCUAUCUUCUGCAGUGGUCGGGCAUUGAGUCUUACUCAAUUUCACACCUUGUAACACAGGCAAGAAUCCUUUCUUUGCUUGAUCCAUUUUGAACUUCUUCAAAAUUUUGUCAAGGUAUGUUGUUUGUGAAAGUCCAAUUAAGCGUCUUGACCUAUCUCUAUAGAUCUUUAUGCCUAAUAUGUAAGCAGCUUCACCGAGGUCUUUCAUUGAAAAACUCUUAUUCAAGUAUCCCUUUAUGCUAUCCAGAAAUUCUAUAUCAUUUCCAAUCAGUAAUAUGUCAUCCACAUAUAAUAUCAGAAAUGCUACAGAGCUCCCACUCACUUUCUUGUAAAUACAGGCUUCUUCGAAAGUCUGUAUAAAAUAAAAUGCUUUGAUCACACUAUCAAAGCAUUUAUUCCAACUCCGAGAGGCUUGCACCAGUCCAUAAAUGGAUCGCUGGAGCUUGCACACUUUGUUAGCUCCUUUUGGAUCGACAAAACCUUCUGGUUGCAUCAUAUACAACUCUUCUUCCAGAAAUCCAUUCAGGAAUGCAGUUUUGACAUCCAUUUGCCAAAUUUCAUAAUCAUAAAAUGCGGCAAUUGCUAACAUGAUUCGGACAGACUUAAGCAUCGCUACGGGUGAGAAGGUCUCAUCGUGGUCAACCCCUUGAACUUGUCGAAAACCUUUUGCGACAAGUCGAGCUUUGUAGACAGUAACAUUACCGUCAGCGUCAGUCUUCUUCUUGAAGAUCCAUUUAUUCUCAAUUGCUUACCGAUCAUCGGGCAAGUCAACCAAAGUCCAUACUUUGUUCUCAUACAUGGAUCCCAUCUCAGAUUUCAUGGCUUCAAGCCAUUUUGCGGAAUCUGGGCUCACCAUCGCUUCUUCCUAGUUCGCAGGUUCAUCAUGAUCUAGUAGCAUGACUUCCAGAACAGGAUUACCGUACCACUCUGGUGCGGAUCUUACUCUGGUUGAUCUAUGAGGUUCAGCAGUAUCUUGAUCUGAAGUUUCAUGAUCAUUAUCAUUAGCUUCCUCACUAACUGGUGUAGGUGUCACUGAAACAAUUUUCUGUGAUGUACUACUUUCCAAUAAGGGAGCAGGUACAGUUACCUCGUCAAGUUCUACUUUCCUCCCACUCACUUCUUUCGAGAGAAACUCCUUCUCUAGAAAGUUUCCGAAUUUAGCAACAAAAGUCUUGCCUUCGGAUCUGUGAUAGAAGGUGUGUCCAAUAGUUUCCUUUGGAUAUCCUAUGAAAACACAUUUCUCUGAUUUGGGUUCGAGCUUAUCAGGUUGAAGCUUUUUCACAUAAGCAUCGCAGCCCCAAACUUUCAGAAACGACAACUUUGGUUUCUUGCCAAACCACAGUUCAUAAGGCGUCGUCUCAACGGAUUUUGAUGGUGCCCUAUUUAAAGUGAAUGCGGCCGUCUCUAGAGCGUAUCCCCAAAAUGAUAGUGGUAAAUCAGUAAGAGACAUCAUAGAUCGCACCAUAUCUAGUAAAGUACGAUUACGACGUUCGGACACACCAUUACGCUGUGGUGUUCCGGGCGGCGUGAGUUGCGAAACUAUUCCACAAUUUUUCAAAUGUACACCAAACUCGUAACUCAAAUAUUCUCCUCCACGAUCAGAUCGUAGAAACUUUAUUUUCUUGUUACGAUGAUUUUCAACUUCACUCUGAAAUUCCUUGAACCUUUCAAAUGUUUCAGACUUAUGUUUCAUUAAGUAGAUAUACCCAUAUCUGCUUAAAUCAUCUCUGAAGGUGAGAAAAUAACGAUAUCCGCCACGAGCCUCAAUAUUCAUCGGACCACAUACAUCUGUAUGUAUGAUUUCCAACAAAUCUGUUGCUCUCUCCAUAGUACCGGAGAACGGUGUUUUGGUCAUCUUGCCCAUAAGGCACGGUUCGCAAGUACUAAGUGAUUCAUAAUCAAGUGGUUCCAAAAGUCCAUCAGAAUGGAGUUUCUUCAUGCGCUUUACACCGAUAUGACCUAAACGGCAGUGCCACAAAUAAGUUGCACUCUAAUUAUCAACUCUGCAUCUUUUGGCUUCAACAUUAUGAAUAUGUGUGUUACUACUAUCGAGAUUCAACAAGAAUAGACCACUCUUCAAGGGUGCAUGACCAUAAAAGAUAUUACUCAUAUAAAUAGAACAACCAUUAUUCUCUGAUUUAAAUGAAUAACCGUCUCGCAUCAAACAAGAUCCAGAUAUAAUGUUCAUGCUUAACGCUGGCACCAAAUAACAAUUAUUUAGGUCUAACACUAAUCCCGAAGGUAGAUGUAGAGGUAGUGUGCCGACUGCGAUCACAUCGACUUUGGAACCGUUUCCCACGCGCAUCGUCACCUCGUCCUUAACCAAUCUUCGCUUGAUCCGUAGUCCCUGUUUCGAGUUGCAAAUAUUAGCAACAGAACCAGUAUCAAAUACCCAGGUGCUACUGCAAGCAUUAGUAAGGUACACAUCAAUAACAUGUAUAUCACAUAUACCUUUGUUCACCUUGCCAUCCUUCUUAUCCACCAAAUACUUGGGGCUGUUCCGCUUCCAGUGACCAGUCUGCUUGCAAUAGAAACACUCAGUUUCAGGCUUAGGUCCAGGUUUGGGUUUCUUCUCUUGAGUAGCAACUUGCUUGCCGUUCUUUUUGAAGUUCCCCUUCUUCUUCCCUUUGCCCUUUUUAUUGAAACUAGUGGUCUUGUUGACCAUCAACACUUGAUGCUCCUUCUUGAUUUCUACCUCCGCGGCUUUCAGCAUCACGAAGAGCUCGGGAAUAGUCUUGUUCAUCCCUUGCAUAUUAUAGUUCAUCACGAAGCUCUUGUAGCUUGGUGGCAGUGAUUGAAGAAUUCUGUCAAUGACGCGAUCAUCUGGAAGAUUAACUCCCAAUUGAAUCAAGUGAUUAUUAUACCCAGACAUUUUGAGUAUAUGCUCACUGACAGAACUGUUCUCCUCCAUCUUGCAGCUAUAGAACUUAUUGGAGACUUCAUAUCUCUCAAUCCGGGCAUUUGCUUGAAAUAUUAACUUCAACUCCUGGAACAUCUCAUAUGCUCCAUGACGUUCAAAACAUCGUUGAAGUCCCGAUUCUAAGCCGUAAAGCAUGGCACACUGAACUAUCGAGUAGUCAUCAGCUUUGCUCUGCCAGACAUUCAUAACAUCCGGCGUUGCUCCUGCAGCAGGGCUGGCACCCAGCGGUGCUUCCAGGACGUAAUUCUUCUGUGCAGCAAUGAGGAUAAUCCUCAAGUUAUGGACCCAGUCCGUGUAAUUGCUACCAUCAUCUUUCAACUUUGCUUUCUCAAGGAACGCAUUAAAAUUCAACGGAACAACAGCACGAGCCAUCUAUCUACAAUCAAACAUAAACAAGAAAGAUACUAAUCAGGUACUAAGUUUCAUGAUAAAUUUAAGUUCAGUUAAUCAAAUUAAUUAAAGAACUCCCACUUAGAUAGACAUCCCUCUAAUCCUCUAAGUGAUUACGUGAUCCAAAUCAACUAAACCAUAACCGAUCAUCACGUGAGAUGGAGUAGUUUUCAAUGGUGAACAUCGUUAUGUUGAUCAUAUCUACUAUAUGAUUCACGCUCGACCUUUCGGUCUCCGUGUUCCGAGGCCAUAUCUGUAUAUGUUGGCUCGUCAAGUAUAACCUGAGUAUUCCGCGUGUGCAACUAUUUUGCACCCGUUGUAUUUGAACAUAGAACCUAUCACACCCGAUCAUCACGUGGUGUCUCAGCAUGAAGAACUUUCGCAACGGUGCAUACUCAGGGAGAACACUUCUUGAUAAUUUAGUGAGAGAUCAUCUUAUAAUGCUACCAUCAAUCAAAGCAAGAUAAGAUGCAUAAAAGGAUAAACAUCACAUGCAAUCAAUAUAAGUGAUAUGAUAUGAGCAUCAUCAUCUUGUGCUUGUGAUAUCCAUCUCCGAAGCACCGUCGUGAUCAGCAUCGUCACCGGCGUGACACCUUGAUCUCCAUCGUAGCAUCGUUGUCGUCUCGCCAAGCUUGUGCUUCUACGACUAUCGCUACCGCUUAGUGAUAAAAGCAAAGCAUUACAUCGCGAUUGCAUUCCAUACAAUAAAACGACAACCAUAAGGCUCCUGCCAGUUGCCGAUAACUCGGUUACAAAACAUGAUCAUCUCAUACAAUAAAAUUCAGCAUCAUGUCUUGACCAUAUCACAUCACAACAUGCCCUGCAAAAACAAGUUAGACGUCCUCUACUUUGUUGUUGCAAGUUUUACGUGGCUGCUAUGGGCUUAAGCAAGAACCAAUCUUACCUACGCAUCAAAACUACAACGAUAGUUUGUCAAUUUGACUCCGUUUUAACCUUCGCAAGGACCGGGCGUAGCCAUACUCGGUUCAACUAAAGUUGGAGAGACAGUCGCCCGCAAGCCACCUAUGUGCAAAGCACGUCGGGGGAACCGGUCUCGCGUAAGCGUACGCGUAAUGUUGGCCGGGUCGUCUCGUCCAACAAUGCCGCCGAACCAAAGUAUGACAUGCUGGUAGGCAGUAUGACUUAUAUCGCCCACAACUCACUUGUGUUCUACUCGUGCAUAUAACAUCAACAUAAAUAACCUAGGCUCGGAUGCCACUGUUGGGUUUCGUAGUAAUUUCAAAAAAAUUCCUAUGCACACGCAAGAUCAUGUGAUGCAUAGCAAUGAGAGGAGAGUGUGAUCUACAUACCUAGUAGAUCGACAACGGAAGCAUUUGGUUGAUGUAGUCGUACGUCUUCACGAUCCAACCGAUCAAGCACCGAAACUACGGCACCUCCGAGUUUGAGCACACGUUCAGCUCGAUGACGAUCUCCGGACUCUGAUCCAGCAAAGUGUCGGGGAAGAGUUCCGUCAGCACGACGGCAUGGUGACGAUCUUGAUGCACUACAGCAGCAGGGCUUCGCCUAAACUCCGCUACAGUAUUAUCGAGGACUAUGGUGGCUGGGGCGCCGCACACGGCUAAGGAAUAGAUCACGUGGAUCAACUUGUGUGUUUCUGGGGUGCCUCUGCCUCAGUAUAUAAAGCACCAAAGGGGGGAGGCUGGCCGGCCACAUAGGGCGCGCCAGGAGAGUCCUACUCCCUCUGGGAGUAGGAUUCCCCCCCCCCCCAAUCCUAGUUGGAAUAGGAUUCGCGGAGGGGGAAAAGAGAGAGGGGGGCCGGCCACCUCUCCUUCUCCUAAUAGGACUAGGGGAGGGAGGGAGGCGCGCAUCCCAUCUUGGGCAGCCCCUUCUCUUUUCCACUAAGGCCCACUAAGGCCCAUAUAGCUCUCGGGGGGUUCCGGUAACCUCCCGGUACUCCGGUAAAAUCCCGAUUUCACACGGAACACUUCCGAUAUCCAAACAUAGGCUUCCAAUAUAUCAAUCUUUAUGUCUCGACCAUUACUAGACUCCUCGUCAUGUCCGUGAUCACAUCCGGGACUCCGAACAACCUUCGGUACAUCAAAAUGCAUAAACUCAUAAUAUAACUGUCAUCAUAACCUUAAGCGUGCGGACCCUAUGGGUUCAAGAACAAUGUAGACAUGACCGAGACACGUCUCCGGUCAAUAACCAAUAGCGGGACCUGGAUGCCCAUAUUGGCUCCUACAUAUUCUACGAAGAUCUUUAUCGGUCAGACCGCAUAACAACAUACGUUGUUCCCUUUGUCAUCGGUAUGUUACUUGCCCGAGAUUCGAUCGUCGGUAUUCCAAUACCUAGUUCAAUCUUGUUACUGGCAAGUCUCUUUACUCGUUCUGUAAUACAUCAUUCCGCAACUAACUCAUUUAGUUGCAAUGCUUGCAAGGCUUAAGUGAUGUGCAUUACCGAGAGGGCCCAGAGAUACCUCUCCGACAAUCGGAGUGACAAAACCUAAUCUCGAAAUACGCCAACCCAACAUGUACCUUUAGAGACACCUGUAAUACUCCUUUAUAAUGACCCAGUAACGUUGUGACGUUUGGUAGUACCAAAAGUGUUCCUCCGGUAAACGGGAGUUCAUAAUCUCAUAUAGGAACAUGUAUAAGUCAUGAAGAAAGAAAUAGCAACAUACUAAACGAUCGGGUGCUAAGCUAAUGGAAUGGGUCAUGUCAAUCAGAUCAUUCUCUUAAUGAUGUGAUCACGUUAAUCAAAUAACAACUCAUCGUUCAUGGUUAGGAAACAUAACCAUCUUUGAUUAACGAGCUAGUCAAGUAGACGCAUACUAGUGACACUUUGUUUGUCUAUGUAUUCACACAUGUAUUAUGUUUCUGGUUAAUACAAUUCUAGCAUGAAUAACAAACAUUUAUCAUGAUUAUAAGGAAAUAAAUAAUAACUUUAUUAUUGCCUCUAGGGCAUAUUUCCUUCAGAGUGGCGCCCCAGCCCACUUUGGGCUGGAUCCCUUCCUCAUACAGCCCAUAAGGCCCUCCGGGAGAGGUGGCCCCUCCGAGUGGACCCCCGGAACCCCUCCGGUGGCCCCGGUACAAUACCGUUAUGCCCCCGAACCUUUCCGGUGACCGUAUGACAACUUCCCAUAUAUAAUUCUUUACCUCCGGAUUAUUCCGGGACUUCGAACAACUUUCGGAUUACUGCAUACUCAUAUCUAUACAACCCUAGCAUCACUGAACCUUAAGUGUGUAGACCCUACGGGUUCGGGAGACAAUCAGACAUGACCGAGACGACUCUCUGGUCAAUAACCAACAGUGGGAUCUGGAUACCCAUGUUGGCUCCCACAUGCUCCUUGAUGAUCUCAUCGGAUGAACCACGAUGUCGAGGACCUAAUCAAUCCCGUACUCAAUUCCCUUUGUCAAUCGGUACAUUACUUGCCCGAGACUCGAUCGUCGAUAUCCCAAUACCUUGUUCAGUCUCGUUACCAGCAAGUCACUUUACUCGUACCGUAAUGCAUGAUCCCGUGAUCAACCACUUGAUCACAUUGAGCUCAUUAUGAUGAUGCAUUACCGAGUGGGCCCAGAGAUACCUCUCCGUCAUACGGAGUGACAAAUCCCAGUCUCGAUUCGUGCCAACCCAACAGACACUUUCGGAGAUACCUGUAAUGUACCUUUAUAGUCACCCAGUUACCUUGUGACGUUUGGCACACCCAAGGCACUCCUACGGUAUCCGGGAGUUGCACGAUCUCAUGGUCUAAGGAAAUGAUACUUGACAUCCAGAAAAGCUACAGCAAACGAACUACACGAUCUUUGUGCUAUACUUAGGUUUGGGUCUUGUCCAUCACAUCAUUCUCCUAAUGAUGUGAUCCCAUUAUCAAUGACAUCCCCAUGUCCAUAGCCAGGAAACCAUGACUAUCUGUUGAUCAACGAGCUAGUCAACUAGAGGCUCACUAGGGACACAUUAUGGUCUAUGUAUUCACACAUGUAUUACGAUUUCCGGACAAUACAAUUAUAGCAUGAAUAAUAGAAAAUUAUCAUGAACAAGGAAAUAUAAUAAUCAUUUUAUUAUUGCCUCUAGGGCAUAUUUCCAACAGUCUCCCACUUGCACUAGAGUCAAUCAUCUAGUUACAUUGUGAUGAAUCGAACACCCAUGGAAUUCUGGUGUUGAUCAUGUUUUGCUCUAGGGAGAGGUUUAGUCAACGGAUCUGCUACAUUCAGGUCCGUAUGUACUUUACAAAUCUCUAUGUAUCCAUUUUGAACACUUUCACGAAUGGAGUUGAAACGACGCUUGAUAUGCCUGGUCUUCCUGUGAAACCUGGGCUCCUUGGCAAGGGCAAUAGCUCCAGUGUUGUCACAGAAGAGAGUCAUCGGGCCCGACGCAUUGGGUAUGACUCCUAGGUCGGUAAUGAACUCCUUCACCCAGACUGCUUCGUGUGCUGCCUCCGAGGCUGCCAUGUACUCCGCUUCACAUGUAGAUCCUGCCACAAUGCUUUGCUUGCAACUGCACCAGCUUACUGCCCCACCAUUCAAAAUAUACACGUAUCCGGUUUGUGACUUAGAGUCAUCCAGAUCUGUGUCGAAGCUAGCAUCAACGUAACCCUUUACGACAAGCUCUUCGUCACCUCCAUAAACGAGAAACAUUUCCUUAGUCCUUUUCAGGUACUUCAGGAUAUUUUUGAUCGCUGUCCAGUGUUCCAUGUCGGGAUUACUUUGGUACCUUCCUACCAAACUCACGGCAAGGUUUACAUCAGGUCUGGUACACAGCAUAGCAUACAUGAUAGACCCUAUGGCUGAGGCAUAGGGGACGACACUCAUCUUUUCUCUAUCUUCUGCCGUGGUCGGGCAUUGAGCCAAGCUCAAUCUCGUACCUUGCAAUACAGGCAAGAACCCCUUCUUUGACUGAUCCAUUUUGAACUUCUUCAAUAUCUUGUCAAGGUACAUACUCUAUGAAAGACCAAUGAGGCGUCUCGAUCUAUCUCUAUAGAUCUUGAUGCCUAAUAUAUAAGCAGCUUCUCCAAGGUCCUUCAUUGAAAAACACUUGUUCAAAUAGGCCUUUAUGCUUUCCAAGAAUUCUAUAUCAUUUCCCAUCAACAGUAUGUCAUCCACAUACAAUAUGACAAAUGCUACAGAGCUCCCACCCACUUUCUUGUAAAUGCAAGCUUCUCCAUAAGUCUGCAUAAACCCAAACGCUUUGAUCAUCUCAUCAAAGCGAAUGUUGCAACUCCGAGAUGCUUGCACCAGCCCGUAAAUCGAGCGUUGGAGCUUGCACACCUUGUCAGCAUUCUUAGGAUCGACAAGACCUUCCGGUUGCAUCAUAUACAAUUCUUCCUUAAGGAAACCAUUAAGGAAUGCCGUUUUGACGUCCAUUUGCCAUAUUUCAUAAUCAUAGAAUGCGGCAAUUGCUAACAUGAUUCGGACGGACUUCAGCUUCGCUACGGGUGAGAAAGUCUCAUCGUAGUCAACCCCUUGAACUCGUCGAUAACCCUUAGCGACAAGCCGUGCUUUAUAGAUGGUCACAUUACCAUCCGCGUCUGUCUUCUUCUUAAAGAUCCAUUUAUUUUCUAUGGCUCGCCGAUCAACGGGCAAGUCAGUCAAAGUCCAUACUUUGUUUUCAUACAUGGAUCCUAUCUCGGAUUUCAUGGCUUCCAGCCAUUUGUCGGAAUACGGGCCCGCCAUCACUUCUUCAUAGUUCAAAGGUUCACCGUUGUCUAACAACAUGAUUUCCAAGACAGGGUUGCCGUACCACUCUGGUGAGGAACGUGUCCUUGUGGACCUUCGAAGUUCAGUAGGAGCUUGAUCAGAAGUAUCUUGAUCAUCAUCAUUAACUUCCUCUCUAAUUGGUGCAAGCACCACAGGAACAUUUGCCUGAGUUGCGCCACUUUCCGGUUCAAGAGGCAAUACUUCAUCAAGUUCUACUUUCCUCCCACUUACUUCUUUCGAGAGAAACUCCUUCUCUAGAAAGGAUCCAUUCUUGGCAACAAAGAUCUUGCCUUCGGAUCUGAGGUAGAAGGUAUACCCAAUAGUUUCUUUAGGGUAUCCUAUCAAGACGCAUUUUUCCGACUUGGGUUCGAGCUUUUCAGGUUGAAGUUUCUUGACAUAAGCAUCGCAUCCCCAAACUUUUAGAAACGACAGCUUAGGCUUCUUCCCAAACCAUAAUUCAUACGGUGUCGUCUCAACGGAUUUCGACGGAGCCCUAUUUAAAGUGAAUGCAGUAGUCUCUAAAGCAUAGCCCCAAAAUGACAGCGGUAAAUUGGUAAGAGACAUCAUAGAUCGCACCAUAUCUAAUAGAGUGCGAUUACGACGUUCGGACACACCAUUACGCUGAGGUGUUCCAGGCGGCAUGAGUUGUGAAACUAUUCCACAUUUUCUUAAGUGUGUACCAAAUUCUUGACUCAAGUAUUCUCCUCCACGAUCUGAUCGCAAAAACUUGAUUUUUCUGUCAUGUUGAUUCUCAACCUCACUCUGAAAUUCCUUGAACUUUUCAAAGGUUUCAGACUUGUGUUUCAUUAAGUAGAUAUACCCAUAUCUACUCAAGUCAUCAGUGAGGGUGAGAACAUAACGAUAGCCACCACGAGCCUCAACAUUCAUUGGACCGCACACAUCAGUAUGUAUGAUUUCCAAUAGGUUGGUUGCUCGCUCCAUUGUUCCUGAGAACGGAGACUUGGUCAUCUUACCCAUGAGGCAUGGUUCACACAUGUCAAAUGAUUCGUAAUCAAGAGACUCUAAAAGUCCAUCUGUAUGGAGCUUCUUCAUGCGUUUGACACCUAUGUGACUAAGGCGGCAGUGCCACAAGUAUGUGGGACUAUCAUUAUCAACCUUACAUCUUUUGGCAUUCACACUAUGAAUAUGUGUAGCAUUACGCUCGAGAUUCAUUAAGAAUAAACCAUUCACCAUAGGAGCAUGACCAUAAAACAUAUCUCUCAUAUAAAUAGAACAACCAUUACACUUGGAUUUAAAUGAGUAGCCAUCUCGUAUUAAACGAGAUCCUGAUACAAUGUUCAUGCUCAAACUUGGCACUAAAUAACAAUUAUUGAGGUUCAAAACUAAUCCCGUAGGUAAAUAUAGAGGUAGCGUGCCGACGACGAUGACAUCGACCUUGGAACCAUUCCCGACGCGCAUUGUCACCUCGUCCUUCGCCAAUCUCCGCUUAUUCCGCAGCUCCUGCUUUGAGUUACAAAUGUGAGCAACUGCACCGGUAUCAAAUACCCAGGAGCUACUACGAGUAUUGGUAAGGUACACAUCAAUUACAUGUAUAUCACAUAUACCUUUCGUUUUGCCGGCCUUCUUGUCCGCUAAGUAUUUGGGGCAGUUCCGCUUCCAGUGUCCACUUCCCUUGCAAUAAAAACACUCAGUCUCGGGCUUGGGUCCAUUCUUUGGCUUCUUCCCGGCAGCUUGCUUACCAGGCGCGGCAACUCCCUUGCCGUCCUUCUUGAAGUCCUUCUUACCCUUGCCUUUCUUGAACUUAGUGGUUUUAUUCACCAUCAACACUUGAUGGUCCUUUUUGACUUCUACCUCUGCUGAUUUCAGCAUUGCAAAUACUUUAGGAAUGGUCUUUUCCAUCCCCUGCAUAUUGAAGUUCAUCACAAAGCUCUUGUAGCUUGGUGGAAGCGACUGGAGGAUUCUGUCAAUGACCGCGUCAUCCGGGAGAUUAACUCCCAGCUGAGUCAAGCGGUUAUUUAACCCAGACAUAGUGAGUAUGUGCUCACUGACAGAACUAUUUUCCUCCAUCUUACAGCUGAAGAACUUGUCGGAGACUUCAUAUCUCUCGACCCGGGCAUGAGCUUGGAAAACCAUUUUUAGCUCUUCGAACAUCUCAUAUGCUCCGUGUCGCUCAAAACGCUUUUGGAGCCCCGGUUCUAAGCUGUAAAGCAUGCCGCACUGAACGAGGUAGUAAUCAUCAGCACGUGUCUGCCAAGCGUUCAUAACGUCUUGGUUCUGUGGGACGGGUGCGUCACCUAGCGGUGCUUCUAGGACAUAAUCUUUCUUGGCAGCUUUAUAGUUGCUGCCAUCGUCUUUCAGCUUGGUUUUCUCUAGGAACGCAUUGAAGUUGAGGACAACGUUGGCUAUUUGAUCUACAAGACAUAUUGUAAAUAUUUUAGACUAAGUUCAUGAUAAUUAAGUUCAUCUAAUCAAAUUAUUCAAUGAACUCCCACUUAGAUAGACAUCCCUCCAGUCAUCUAAGUAUAACAUGAUCCGAGUUGACUAGGUCGUGUCCGAUCAUCACGUGAGACGGACUAGUCAACAUCGGUGAACAUCUUCAUGUUGAUCGUAUCUUCUAUACGACUCAUGCUCGACCUUUCGGUCUUCUGUGUUCCGAGGCCAUGUCUGUACAUGCUAGGCUCGUCAAGUCAACCUAAGUGUAUUGCGUGUGUAAAUCUGUCUUACACCCGUUGUAUGUGAACGUUGGAAUCUAUCACACCCGAUCAUCACGUGGUGCUUCGAAACAACGAACUGUCGCAACGGCGCACAGUUAGGGGGAACACUUUCUUGAAAUUAUUAUGAGGGAUCAUCUUAUUUACUACCGUCGUUCUAAGUAAACAAGAUGCAAAAACAUGAUAAACAUCACAUGCAAUCAAAUAAUAAUAGUGACAUGAUAUGGCCAAUAUCACAUAGCUCCUUUGAUCUCCAUCUUGGGGCUCCAUGAUCAUCUUGUCACCGACAUGACACCAUGAUCUCCAUCAUCAUGAUCUCCAUCAUCGUGUCUCCAUGAAGUUGCUAGCCAACUAUUACUUCUACUACUAUGGCUAACGCGUUUAGCAAUAAAUUAAAGUAAUUUACAUGGCGUUUCUCAAUGACACGCAGGUCAUACAAAAAAUAAAGACAACUCCUAUGGCUCCUGCCGGUUGUCAUAAUCAUCGACAUGCAAGUCGUGAUUCCUAUUACAAGAACAUGAUCUCAUACAUCACAUAUAUAUCAUUCAUCAUUCAUCACAACUUUGGCCAUAUCACAUCACAAAUCACUUGCUGCAAAAACAAGUUAGACGUCCUCUAAUUGUUGUUGCAAGUUUUACGUGGCUGCAAAAGGGUUCUAGCAAGAACGUUUUCUUACCUACGUAAUAGCCACAACGUGAUUUGUCAACUUCUAUUUACCCUUCAUAAGGACCCUUUUCAUCGAAUCCGCUCCAAAUAAAGUGGGAGAGACAGAAACCCGCUAGCCACCUAAUGCAACUAGUGCAUGUCAGUCGGUGGAACCAGUCUCACGUAAGCAUACGUGUAAGGUCGGUCCGGGCCGCUUCAUCCCACAAUACCGCUAAAGCAAGAUAAGACUAGUAGCGGCAAGAAAGUUGACAACAUCUACGCCCACAACAAAUUGUGUUCUACUCGUGCAAGGAGAACUACGCAUAAACCUGGCUCUGAUACCACUGUUGGGGAACAUUGCAGAAAACAAAAAAUUUCCUACGAUUUCACCAAGACCCAUCUAUGAGUUCAUCUAGCAACGAGUGAUCGGAUUGCAUCUACAUACCUUUGUAGAUCACGCGCGGAAGCGUUCAAAGAACGGGGAUGAGAAAGUCGUACUCGACGUGAUCCAAAUCACCGGAGGUCCUAGCGCCGAACAGACGGCACCUCCGCGUUCAACACACGUACGGUCAGCGUGACGUCUCCUCCUUCUUGAUCUAGCAAGGGGGAAGGAGAGGUUGAGGAAGAUGGCUCCAGCAGCAGCACGACGGCGUGGUGGUGGUGGAGCAGCAGUACUUCAGCAGGGCUUCGCCAAGCUCGUGACGGAGGAGGAGAUGUGUUGGGGAGGGGAGGGGAUGUGCCUUGGAUGUCCUCUGCAGCCCUCCCCUCACCCCUCUAUUUAUAGGGGAAGGAGGAAGGGGGCCGGCCCCCUCUAGAUGAGAUCUACAGGAGGGGCGGCGGCCAAGGGGAGGGGGGCUUGCCCCCCAAGCAAGGGGGCGCCCCCCCUUAGGGUUUCCCCCAACCCUAUGCGCAUGGGCCCUAGGGGGAGUGGCACCCCAGCCCACUUUGGGGUGGAUACCUUCCUCAUACAGCCCAUAAGGCCCUCCGAGAGAGGUGGCCCCUCCUGGUGGACCCCCGGAACCCCUCCGGUGGCCCCGGUACAAUACUGAUACGCCCCCGAACCUUUCCGGUGACCAUAUGACAACUUCCCAUAUAUAAUUCUUUACCUCCGGAUUAUUCCGGAACUCCUCGUGACGUCCAGGAUCUCAUCCGGGACUCCGAAAAACUUUCGGAUUACUGCAUACUCAUCUAUACAACCCUAGCGUCACCGAACCUUAAGUGUGUAGACCCUACGGGUUUGGGAGACAAGCAUACAUGACCGAGAUGACUCUCUGGUCAAUAACCAACAGCGGGAUCUGGAUACCCAUGUUGGCUCCCACAUGCUCCUCGAUGAUCUCAUCAGAUGAACCACGAUGUCGAGGACCUAAUCAAUCUCGUACUCAAUUCCCAUUGUCAAUCGGUACGUUACUUGCCCGAGACUCGAUCGUCGGUAUCCCAAUACCUUGUUCAGUCUCGUUACCGGCAAGUCACUUUACUCGUACCGUAAUGCAUGAUCCCAUGAUCAACCACUUGAUCACAUUGAGCUCAUUAUGAUGAUGCAUUACCGAGUGGGCCCAGAGAUACCUCUCCGUCAUACGGAGUGACAAAUCCCAGUCUCGAUUUGUGCCAACCCAACAGACACUUUCGGAGAUACCUGUAAUGUACCUUUGUAGUCACCCAGUUACGUUGUGAUGUUUGGCACACCCAAGGCACUCCUACGGUAUCCGGGAGUUGCACAAUCUCAUGGUCUAAGGAAAUGAUACUUGACAUCCAGAAAAGCUAUAGCAAAUGAACUACACGAUCUUUGUGCUUUGCUUAGGUUUGGGUCUUGUCCAUCACAUCAUUCUCCUAAUGAUGUGUUCCCAUUAUCAAUGACAUCCCCAUGUCCAUAGCCAGGAAACCAUGACUAUCUGUUGAUCAACGAGCUAGUCAACUAGAGGCUCACUAGGGACACAUUAUGGUCUAUGUAUUCACACAUGUAUUACGAUUUCCGAACAAUACAAUUAUAGCAUGAAUAAUAGACAAUUAUCAUGAACAAGGAAAUAUAAUCAUCAUUUUAUUAUUGCCUCUAGAGCAUAUUUCCAACAAUGUCACUCUUGGUUCAUUGCACAUCCCGGUACAACGCCGGAGGCAUUCACAUAGAGUCAUAUUUUGUUCUAAGUAUCGAGUUGUAAUUUUUGAGUUGUAAAGUAAAUAAAAGUGUGAUGAUCAUCAUUAUUAGAUCAUUGUCCCAUGUGAGGAAAUGAUGAUGGAGACUAUGAUUCCCCAGAAGUCGGGAUGAGACUCGGGAUGAAAAAGAAAAAAAAGAAAAAAAGAGGCCAUAAAAAGAGAGAAGGCCCAAAAAGAAAAAAUAAUGAGAGAAAAGAGAGAAGGGACAAUGCUAAUAUCCUUUGACCACACUUGUGCUUCAAAGUAGCACCAUGAUCUUCAUGAUAGAGAGUCUCCUAUGUUGUCACUUUCAUAUACUAGUGGGAAUUUUACAUUAUAGAACUUGGCUUGUAUAUUCCAAUGAUGGGCUUCCUCAAAAUGCCCUAGGUCUUCGUGAGCAAGCAAGUUGGAUGCACACCCACUUAGUUUCUUUUUGAGCUUUCAUAUACUUAUAGCUCUAGUGCAUCCGUUGCAUGGCAAUCCCUACUCACUCACAUUGAUAUCUAUUGAUGGGCAUCUCCAUAGCCCGUUGAUACACCUAGUUGAUGUGAGACUAUCUUAUCCUUUUUGUCUUCUCCACAACCACCAUUCUAUUCCACCUAUAGUGCUAUGUCCAUGGCUCACGCUCAUGUAUCGCGUGAAGAUUGAAAAAGUUUGAGAACAUCAAAAGUAUGAAACAAUUGCUUGGCUUGUCAUCGGGGUUGUGCACGAUUUAAAUACUUUGUGUGAUGAAGAUAGAGCAUAGCCAUACUAUAUGAUUUUGUAGGGAUAACUUUCUUUGGCCAUGUUAUUUUGAGAAGACAUCAUUGCUUUGUUAGUAUGCUUGAAGUAUUAUUAUUUUUAUGUCAAUAUUAAACUUUUGUCUUGAAUAUUUCGGAUCUGAACAUUCAUGCCACAAUAAAGAAAAAAUAUAUUGAGAAUUAUGCUAGGUAGCAUUCCACAUCAAAAGUUCUGUUUUUAUCAUUUACCUACUCGAGGACGAGUAGGAAUGAAUCUUGGGAUGCUUCAUACGUCUACAACAUAUCUAUAAUUUGUGAUUGUUCCAUGCUAUUAUAUUAUCUGUUUUGGAUGUUUAAUGGGCUUUAAUAUACAUUUUUAUAUUAUUUUUGGGACUAACCUACUAACCAAAGCCCCAGUGCAAAUUGCUUUUUUUUGCCUAUUUCAGUGUUUCGCAGAAAAGGAAUAUCAAACGGAAUCCAAACGGAAUGAAACCUUCGGGAGAGUUAUUUAUAGAACAAAUGUGAUCCAGGAGACUUGAGUGGAUGUCAAGAAAGAAGCGAGGAGGCCACUGAAGGAAAUAUGCCCUAGAGGCAAUAAUAAAGUUAUUAUUUAUUUCCUUAUAAUCAUGAUAAAUGUUUAUUAUUCAUGCUAGAAUUGUAUUAACCGGAAACAUAAUACAUGUGUGAAUACAUAGACAAACAAAGUGUCACUAGUAUGCCUCUACUUGACUAGCUCGUUAAUCAAAGAUGGUUAUGUUUCCUAACCAUGAACAAUGAGUUGUUAUUUGAUUAACGAGGUCACAUCAUUAGUUGAAUGAUCUGAUUGACAUGACCCGUUCCAUUAGCUUAGCAACCGAUCGUUUAGUAUGUUGCUAUUGCUUUCUUCAUGACUUAUACAUGUUCCUAUAACUAUGAGAUUAUGCAACUCCCGUUUGCCGGAGGAACACUUUGGGUGCUACCAAACGUCACAAUCUAACUGGGUGAUUAUAAAGGAGCAUUACAGGUGUCUCCAAAGGUAGAUGUUGGGUUGGCAAAUUUCGAGAUUAGGAUUUGUCACUCCGAUUGUCGGAGAGGUAUCUCUGGGCCCUCUCGGUAAUGCACAUCACAUAAGCCUUGCAAGCAUUGCAACUAAUGAGUUAGUUGCGAGAUGAUGUAUUACAAAACGAGUAAAGAGACUGGUUGGUAACGAGAUUGAACUAGGUAUUGUAUAUCGACGAUCGAAUCUCGGGCAAGUAACAUACCGAUGACAAAGGGAACAACGUAUGUUGUUAUGCGGUCUGACCGAUAAAGAUCUUCGUAGAAUAUGUAGGAGCCAAUAUGGGCAUCCAGGUCCCGCUAUUGGUUAUUGACCAGAGACGUGUCUCGGUCAUGUCUACAUUGUUCUCGAACCCGUAGGGUCCGCACGCUUAAGGUUACGAUGACAGUUAUAUUAUGAGUUUAUGCAUUUUGAUGUACCGAAGGUUGUUCGGAGUCCCGGAUGUGAUCACGGACAUGACGAGGAGUCUCGAAAUGGUCGAGACGUAAAGAUUGAUAUAUUGGAAGCCUAUGUUUGGAUAUCGGAAGUGUUCCGGGUGAAAUCGGGAUUUUACCGGAGUACCGGGANNNNNNNNNNNNNNNNNNNNNNNNNNNNNNNNNNNNNNNNNNNNNNNNNNNNNNNNNNNNNNNNNNNNNNNNNNNNNNNNNNNNNNNNNNNNNNNNNNNNNNNNNNNNNNNNNNNNNNNNNNNNNNNNNNNNNNNNNNNNNNNNNNNNNNNNNNNNNNNNNNNNNNNNNNNNNNNNNNNNNNNNNNNNNNNNNNNNNNNNNNNNNNNNNNNNNNNNNNNNNNNNNNNNNNNNNNNNAAGGUGGCCGCGCGCCUCCCCCUCCCCCUAGUCCUAUUAGGACUAGGAGAGGUGGUCGGCCCCCCUUCUCUCUCUUCCCCCCUCGGGGAAUCCUAGUCCAACUAGGAUUGGGGGGGGAGUCCUACUCCCGGAAGGAGAAGGACUCCUCCUGCGCCCUCCUCCUGGCCGGCGCCCCCCUCCCCCUUGGCUCCUUUAUAUACUAAGGCAGAGGCACCCCAGAAACACACAAGUUGAUCCACGUGAUCUAUUCCUUAGCCGUGUGCGGUGCCCCCAGCCACCAUAUUCAUCGAUAAUACUGUAGCGGAGUUUAGGCGAAGCCCUACUGCUGUAGUGCAUCAAGAUCGUCACCACGCCGUCGUGCUGACGGAAUUCUUCCCCGACACUUUCCUGGAUCGGAGUCCGGGGAUCGUCAUCGAGCUGAACGUGUGCUCGAACUCGGAGGUGCCGUAGUUUCGGUGCUUGAUCGGUUGGAUCGCGAAGACGUACGACUACUUCCUCUACGUUGUGUCAACGCUUCCGCAGUCGGUCUGCGUGGGUACGUAGAAAGCACUCUCCCCUCUCGUUGCUAUGCAUCACCAUGAUCUUGCGUGUGCGUAGGAAUUUUUUUGAAAUUACUACGAAACCCAAAAGUCGCAUCCGUGCCUAGGUUAUUUAUGUUGAUGUUAUAUGCACGAGUAGAACACAAGUGAGUUGUGGGCGAUAUAAGUCAUACUGCCUACCAGCAUGUCAUACUUUGGUUCGGCGGCAUUGUUGGACGAGACGACCCGGACCAACCUUACGCGUACGCUUACGCGAGACCGGUUCCCCCGACGUGCUUUGCACACAGGUGGCUUGCGGGCGACUGUCUCUCCAACUUUAGUUGAACCAAGUAUGGCUACGCCCGGUCCUUGCGAAGGUUAAAACGGAGUCUAUUUGACAAACUAUCGUUGUGGUUUUGAUGCGUAGGUGAGAUUGGUUCUUGCUUAAAGCCCGUAGCAGCCACAUAAAACUUGCAACAACAAAGUAGAGGACGUCUAACCUGUUUUUGCAGGGCAUGUUGUGAUGUGAUAUGGUCAAGACAUGAUGCUGAAUUUUAUUGUAUGAGAUGAUCAUGUUUUGUAACCGAGUUAUCGGCAACUGGCAGGAGCCUUAUGGUUGUCGUUUUAUUGUAUGCAAUGAAAACGCGAUGUAAUGAUUUACUUUAUUACUAAGCGGUAGUGAUAGUCGUGGAAGCAUAAACUUGGCGAGACGACAACGAUGCUAUGAUGGAGAUCAAGGUGUCACGCCGGUGAUGAUGGUGAUCACGACGGUGCUUCGGAGAUGGAGAUCACAAGCACAAGAUGAUGAUGGCCAUAUCAUAUCACUUAUAUUGAUUGCAUGUGAUGUUUAUCCUUUUAUGCAUCUUAUCUUGCUUUGAUUGACGGUAGCAUUAUAAGAUGAUUUCUCACUAAAUUACCAAGAAGUGUUCUCCCUGAGUAUGCACCGUUGUGAAAGUUCUUCGUGCUGAGACACCACGUGAUGAUCGGGUGUGAUAGGUUCUACGUUCAAAUACAACGGGUGCAAAACAGUUGCCCACGCGGAAUACUCAGGUUAUACUUGACGAGCCAAGCAUAUACAGAUAUGGCCUCAGAACACGGAGACUGAAAGGUCGAGCGUGAAUCAUAUAGUAGAUAUGAUCAACAUAACGAUGUUCACCAUUGAAAACUACUCCAUCUCACGUGAUGAUCGGUUAUGGUUUAGUUGAUUUGGAUCACGUAAUCACUUAGAGGAUUAGAGGGAUGUCUAUCUAAGUGGGAGUUCUUUAAUUAAUUUGAUUAACUGAACUUAAAUUUAUCAUGAAACUUAGUACCUAAUUAGUAUCUUGCUUGUUUAUGUUUGAUUGUAGAUAGAUGGCUCGUGUUGUUGUUCCGUUGAAUUUUAAUGCGUUCCUUGAGAAAGCAAAGUUGAAAGAUGAUGGUAGCAAUUACACGGACUAGGUCCGUAACUUGAGGAUUAUCCUCAUUGCUGCACAGAAGAAUUACGUCCUGGAAGUACCACUGGGUGCCAGGCCUGCUGCAGGAGCAACGCCGGAUGUUAUGAACGUCUGGCAGAGCAAAGCUGAUGACUACUCAAUAGUUCAGUGUGCCAUGCUUUACGGCUUAGAAUCGGGACUUCAACGACGUUUUGAACGUCAUGGAGCAUAUGAGAUGUUCCAGGAGUUGGAGUUAAUGUUUCAAGCAAAUGCCCAGAUUGAGAGAUAUGAAGUCUCCAAUAAGUUCUAUAGCUGCAAGAUGGAGGAGAACAGUUCUGUCAGUGAGCAUAUACUCAAAAUGUCUGGGUAUAAUAAUCACUUGAUUCAAUUGGGAGUUAAUCUUCCAGAUGAUUGCGUCAUUGACAGAAUUCUUCAAUCACUGCCACCAAGCUACAAGAGCUUCGUGAUGAACUAUAAUAUGCAAGGGAUGAACAAGACUAUUCCCGAGCUCUUCGCGAUGCUGAAAGCUGCGGAGGUAGAAAUCAAGAAGGAGCAUCAAGUGUUGAUGGUCAACAAGACCACUAGUUUCAAGAAAAAGGGCAAAGGGAAGAAGAAGGGGAACUUCAAAAAGAACGGCAAGCAAGUUGCUACUCAAGAGAAGAAACCCAAACCUGGACCUAAGCCUGAAACUGAGUGUUUCUAUUGCAAGCAGACUGGUCACUUGAAGCGGAACUGCCCCAAGUAUUUGGCAGAUAAGAAGGAUGGAAAGGUGAACAAAGGUAUAUGUGAUAUACAUGUUAUUGAUGUGUACCUUACUAAUGCUCGCAGUAGCACCUGGGUAUUUGAUACUGGUUCUGUUGCUAAUAUUUGCAACUCGAAACAGGGACUACGGAUCAAGCGAAGAUUGGUUAAGGACGAGGUGACGAUGCGCGUGGGAAACGGUUCCAAAGUCGAUGUGAUCGCAGUCGGCACACUACCUCUACAUCUACCUUCGGGAUUAGUAUUAGACCUAAAUAAUUGUUAUUUGGUGCCAGCGUUAAGCAUGAACAUUAUAUCUGGAUCUUGUUUGAUGCGAGACGGUUAUUCAUUUAAAUCAGAGAAUAAUGGUUGUUCUAUUUAUAUGAGUAAUAUCUUUUAUGGUCAUGCACCCUUGAAGAGUGGUCUAUUCUUGUUGAAUCUCGAUAGUGGUAACACACAUAUUCAUAAUGUUGAAGCCAAAACAUGUAGAGUUGAUAAUGAGAGUGCAACUUAUUUGUGGCACUGCCGUUUAGGUCAUAUCGGUGUAAAGCGCAUGAAGAAACUCCAUUCUGAUGGACUUUUGGAACCACUUGAUUAUGAAUCACUUGGUACUUGCGAACCGUGCCUUAUGGGCAAGAUGACAAAACACCGUUCUCCGGUACUAUGGAGGGAGCAACAGAUUUGUUGGAAAUCAUACAUACAUAUGUAUGUGGUCCGAUGAAUAUUGAGGCUCGUGGCGGAUAUCAUUAUUUUCUCACCUUCACAGAUGAUUUAAGCAGAUAUGGGUAUAUCUACUUAAUGAAACAUAAGUCUGAAACAUUUGAAAGGUUCAAGGAAUUUCAGAGUGAAGUUGAAAAUCAUCGUAACAAGAAAAUAAAGUUUCUACGAUCUGAUCGUGGAGGAGAAUAUUUGAGUUACGAGUUUGGUGUACAUUUGAAAAAUUGUGGAAUAGUUUCGCAACUCACGCCACCCGGAACACCACAGCGUAAUGGUGUGUCUGAAUGUCGUAAUCGUACUUUACUAGAUAUGGUGCGAUCUAUGAUGUCUCUUACUGAUUUACCGCUAUCGUUUUGGGGAUACGCUCUAGAGACGGCCGCAUUCACUUUAAAUAGGGCACCAUCAAAAUCCGUUGAGACGACGCCUUAUGAACUGUGGUUUGGCAAGAAACCAAAGUUGUCGUUUCUGAAAGUUUGGGGCUGCGAUGCUUAUGUGAAAAAGCUUCAACCUGAUAAGCUCGAACCCAAAUCGGAGAAAUGUGUCUUCAUAGGAUAUCCAAAGGAAACUAUUGGAUACACCUUCUAUCACAGAUCUGAAGGCAAGACUUUUGUUGCUAAAUUCGGAAACUUUCUAGAGAAGGAGUUUCUCUCGAAAGAAGUGAGUGGGAGGAAAGUAGAACUUGACGAGGUAACUGUACCUGCUCCCUUAUUGGAAAGUAGUACAUCACAGAAAAUUGUUUCAGUGACACCUACACCAGUUAGUGAGGAAGCUAAUGAUAAUGAUCAUGAAACUUCAGAUCAAGAUACUGCUGAACCUCGUAGAUCAACCAGAGUAAGAUCCGCACCAGAGUGGUACGGUAAUCCUGUUCUGGAAGUCAUGCUACUAGAUCAUGAUGAACCUGCGAACUAGGAAGAAGCGAUGGUGAGCCCAGAUUCCGCAAAAUGGCUUGAAGCCAUGAAAUCUGAGAUGGGAUCCAUGUAUGAGAACAAAGUAUGGACUUUGGUUGACUUGCCCGAUGAUCGGUAAGCAAUUGAGAAUAAAUGGAUCUUCAAGAAGAAGACUGACGCUGACGGUAAUGUUACUGUCUACAAAGCUCGACUUGUCGCAAAAGGUUUUCGACAAGUUCAAGGGGUUGACUACGAUGAGACCUUCUCACCCGUAGCGAUGCUUAAGUCUGUCCGAAUCAUGUUAGCAAUUGCCGCAUUUUAUGAUUAUGAAAUUUGGCAAAUGGAUGUCAAAACUGCAUUCCUGAAUGGAUUUCUGGAAGAAGAGUUGUAUAUGAUGCAACCAGAAGGUUUUGUCGAUCCAAAAGGAGCUAACAAAGUGUGCAAGCUCCAGCGAUCCAUUUAUGGACUGGUGCAAGCCUCUCGGAGUUGGAAUAAAUGCUUUGAUAGUGUGAUCAAAGCAUUUUGUUUUAUACAGACUUUCGGAGAAGCCUGUAUUUACAAGAAAGUGAGUGGGAGCUCUGUAGCAUUUCUGAUAUUAUAUGUGGAUGACAUAUUACUGAUUGGAAAUGAUAUAGAAUUUCUGGAUAGCAUAAAGAGAUACUUGAAUAAGAGUUUUUCAAUGAAAGACCUCGGUGAAGCUGCUUACAUACUAGGCAUAAAGAUCUAUAGAGAUAGAUCAAGACGCUUAAUUGGACUUUCACAAACAACAUACCUUGACAAAAUUUUGAAGAAGUUCAAAAUGGAUCAAGCAAAGAAAGGAUUCUUGCCUGUGUUACAAGGUGUGAAAUUGAGUAAGACUCAAUGCCCGACCACUGCAGAAGAUAGAGAGAAUAUGAAAGAUGUUCCCUAUGCAUCAGCGAUAGGAUCUAUCAUGUAUGCAAUGUUGUGUACCAGACCUGAUGUGUGCCUUGCUAUAAGUCUAGCAGGGAGGUACCAAAGUAAUCCAGGAGUGGAUCACUGGACAACCGUCAAGAACAUCCUGAAAUACAUGAGAAGGACUAAGGAUAUGUUUCUCGUAUAUGGAGGUGACAAAGAGCUCGACGUAAAUGGUUACGUUGAUGCAAGCUUUGACACUGAUCCGGACGAUUCUAAAUCGCAAACCGGAUACGUGUUUACAUUAAACGGUGGAGCUGUCAGUUGGUGCAGUUCUAAACAAAGCGUCGUAGUGGGAUCUACAUGUGAAGCGGAGUACAUAGCUGCUUCGGAAGCAGCGAACGAAGGAGUCUGGAUGAAGGAGUUCAUAUCCGAUCUAGGUGUCAUAUCUAGUGCAUCGGGUCCAAUGAAAAUCUUUUGUGACAAUACUGGUGCAAUUGCCUUGGCAAAGGAAUCCUGAUUUCACAAGAGAACCAAGCACAUCAACAGACGCUUCAAUUCCAUCCAGGAUCUAGUCCAGGUGGGAGACAUAGAGAUUUGCAAGAUACAUACGGAUCUGAAUGUUGCAGACCCGUUGACUAAGCCUCUUCCACGAGCAAAACAUGAUCAGCACCAAGGCUCCAUGGGUGUUAGAAUCAUCACAGUGUAAUCUAGAUUAUUGACUCUAGUGCAAGUGGGAGACUGAAGUAAAUAUGCCCUAGAGGCAAUAGUAAAGUUAUUAUUUAUUUCCUUAUAAUCAUGAUAAAUGUUUAUUAUUCAUGCUAGAAUUGUAUUAACCGGAAACAUAAUACAUGUGUGAAUACAUAGACAAACAAAGUGUCACUAGUAUGCCUCUACUUGACUAGCUCGUUAAUCAAAGAUGGUUAUGUUUCCUAACCAUGAACAAUGAGUUGUUAUUUGAUUAACGAGGUCACAUCAUUAGUUGAAUGAUCUGAUUGACAUGACCCGUUCCAUUAGCUUAGCACCCGAUCGUUUAGUAAGUUGCUAUUGCUUUCUUCAAGACUUAUACAUGUUCCUAUAACUAUGAGAUUAUGCAACUCCCGUUUGCCGGAGGAACACUUUGGAUGCUACCAAACGUCACAACGUAACUGGGUGAUUAUAAAGGAGCAUUACAGGUGUCUCCAAAGGUAGAUGUUGGGUUGGCGUAUUUCGAGAUUAGGGUUUGUCACUCCGAUUGUCGGAGAGGUAUCUCUGGGCCCUCUCGGUAAUGCACAUCACAUAAGCCUUGCAAGCAUUGCAAUUAAUGAGUUAGUUGUGAGAUGAUAUAUUACAGAACGAGUAAAGAGACUUGCCGGUAACGAGAUUGAACUAGGUAUUGGAUACCGACGAUCGAAUCUCGGGCAAGUAACAUACCGAUGACAAAGGGAACAACGUAUGUUGUUAUGCGGUCUGACCGAUAAAGAUCUUCGUAGAAUAUGUAGGAGCCAAUAUGGUCAUCCAGGUCUGGCUAUUGGUUAUUGACCGGAGACGUGUCUCAGUCAUGUCUACAUUGUUCUCGAACCCGUAGGGUCCGCACGCUUAAGGUUACGAUGACAGUUAUAUUAUGAGUUUAUGCAUUUUGAUGUACCGAAGGUUGUUCGGAGUCCCGGAUGUGAUCACGGACAUGAUGAGGAGUCUCGAAAUGGUCGAGACGUAAAGAUUGAUAUAUUGGAAGCCUAUGUUUGGAUAUCGGAAGUGUUCCGGGUGAAAUCGGGAUUUUACCGGAGUACCGGGAGGUUACCGGAACCCCCCNNNNNNNNNNNNNNNNNNNNNNNNNNNNNNNNNNNNNNNNNNNNNNNNNNNNNNNNNNNNNNNNNNNNNNNNNNNNNNNNNNNNNNNNNNNNNNNNNNNNNNNNNNNNNNNNNNNNNNNNNNNNNNNNNNNNNNNNNNNNNNNNNNNNNNNNNNNNNNNNNNNNNNNNNNNNNNNNNNNNNNNNNNNNNNNNNNNNNNNNNNNNNNNNNNNNNNNNNNNNNNNNNNNNNNNNNNNNNNNNNNNNNNNNNNNNNNNNNNNNNNNAAGGAGAAAGGGGCAGCCCAAGGUGGCCGCGCGCCUCCCCCCUUCCCCUAGUCCUAUUAGGACUAGGAGAGGUGGCCGGCCCCCCUUCUCUCUCUUUCCCCCUCGGGGAAUCCUAGUCCAACUAGGAUUGGGGGGGAGUCCUACUCCCGGAAGGAGAAGGACUCCUCCUGCGCCCUCCUCCUGGCCGGCGCCCCCUCCCCCUUGGCUCCUUUAUAUACUAAGGCAGAGGCACCCCAGAAACACAUAAGUUGAUCCACGUGAUCUAUUCCUUAGCCGUGUGCGGUGCCCCCAGCCACCAUAUUUCUCGAUAAUACUGUAGCGGAGUUUAGGCGAAGCCCUGCUGCUGUAGUGCAUCAAGAUCGUCACCACGCCGUUGUGCUGACGGAAUUCUUCCCCAACACUUUGCUGGAUCGGAGUCUGGGGGUCGUCAUCGAGCUGAACGUGUGCUCGAACUCGGAGGUGCCGUAGUUUCGGUGCUUGAUCGGUUGGAUCGCGAAGACGUACGACUACUUCCUCUACGUUGUGUCAACGCUUCCGCAGUCGGUCUGCGUGGGUACGUAGACAGCACUCUCCCCUCUCAUUGCUAUGCAUCACCAUGAUCUUGCGUGUGCGUAGGAAAUUUUUUGAAAUUACUACGAAACCCAACAGCCACGAGGCAGGACGGCGCACCUAGGGGGUAGGCCCGCCCUCCACACUCGUGGGCCCCUUGCAGCUCCACUGACGUACUUCUUCCUCCUAUAUAUACCCAUAUACCGCGAAAACAUCCAGGAGCACCACGAAACCCUAUUUCCAUCGCCACAACCUUCUGUACCCGUGAGAUCCCAUCUUGGGGCCUUUUUCGACGCUCCGCCGGAGGGGGAAUUGAUCAUGGAGGGCUUCUACAUCAACACCAUAGCCUCUCCGAUGAUGUGUGAGUAGUUUACCACAGACCUUCGGGUCCAUAGUUAUUAGCUAGAUGGCUUCUUCUCUCUCUUUGGAUCUCAAUACAAAGUUCUCCUCGAUUCUCUUGGAGAUCUAUUCGAUGUAAUUUCUUUUUGCGGUGUGUUUGUCGAUAUCCGAUGAAUUGUGGGUUUAAUCAAGAUUAUCUAUGAACAAUAUUUGAUUCUUCUCUGAAUUCUUUUAUGCAUGAUUUAAAUAUCUUUGCAAGUCUCUUCGAAUUAUCAAUUUGGUUUGGCCUACUAGAUUGAUCUUUCUUGCAAUGGGAGAAGUGCUUAGCUUUGGGUUCAAUCUUGCGGUGUCCUUUCCCAGUGACAGCAGGGGCAGCAAGGCACGUAUUGUAUUAUUGACAUCGAGGAUAAAAAGAUGGGGUUUAUAUCAUAUUGCUUCAGUUUAUUCCUCUACAUCAUGUCGUCUUGCCUAAUGUGUUACUCUGUUCUUAUGAACUUAAUACUCUAGAUGCAUGCUGGAUAGCGGUCGAUGUGUGGAGUAGUAGUAGUAGAUGCAGAAUCGUUUAGGUCUACUUGUCGCGGACGUGAUGCCUAUAUACAUGAUCAUGCCUAGAUAUUCUCAUAAUUAUUCGAUUUUCUAUCAAUUGCUCGACAGUAAUUUGUUCACCCACCGUAGAAUUUGCUAUCUUGAGAGAAGCCACUAGUGAAACCUAUGGCCCCCGGGUCUAUCUUCCAUCAUAUCUAUUUUCUAUUUCUAUCAUAGUUUAUUUUUGCAAUCUUUACUUUCCAAUCUAUACCAUAAAAAAUACCAAAAAUAUUUAUCUUAUUAUCUCUACAGAUCUCACUUUGUAAGUGACCGUGAAGGGAUUGACAACCCCUUUAUCGCGUUCGUUGCAAGGUUCUUGUUUGUUUGUGCAGGUACUAGGCAAAUUUCGUGUUACCUCCUACAGGAUUGAUACCUUGAUUCUCAAAAACUGAGGGGGAAAUACUUACGCUAUUGUGCUGCAUCACCCUUUCCUCUUCAAGGGAAAACCAACGCUUGCUCAAGAGUUAGCAGAUGCCAAUUCAAAUAAUCAUCAAAAUAAUUCUCCUACACGCGUUAUUCAGAUGGAGAAGAAGCGGUUGGCGUGGACAUUUCGUUUCUUAUCGAUGUCCAAGAGAAAAGCUACUAGGAAGUUCGUCCGCGCGGUGGAUUAUAAGUUUAAGUCUGUUACAUGAUACGUCCAUUUUGUAUCAUGUUUUCUUACUAUUAUUUAUAAUGUUUUAUCCAUAAUAAUGCUUUUUGGAGUAAUUCUAAUGUCUUUUCUCUCAUAAUUUGCAGUGUACACACAAAGAGGGAGAAUUUCGGCAGCUGGAAAUCUUGACCUGGGAAAGCUACAUCAGGCUACCUAUUCUGCACAACUCCAAACAAGCUGAAACUUGACAAUGAUUUUUUAUGGAAUAUAUAAGAAAUACUGGAGGAAAUAACUACCAUAGGGGGCCCAUCAGGUGGGCACAACCCACCUGGGCACGCUAGGGAGCCCAGGCAUGCCCUGGUGGGUUGUGCUCACCCAGGCCCACCUCUGGUGCCCAUCUUCUGGUAUAUAAGUCAUUUUAACCUAGAAAAAAUAAGGAUAAGGCUUUUGGGACGGAGCGCUGCCGUCUCGAGGCGGAACUUGGGCAGGAGCACUUUUGCCCUCCGGCGGAGCGAUUCCGCCNNNNNNNNNNNNNNNNNNNNNNNNNNNNNNNNNNNNNNNNNNNNNNNNNNNNNNNNNNNNNNNNNNNNNNNNNNNNNNNNNNNNNNNNNNNNNNNNNNNNNNNNNNNNNNNNNNNNNNNNNNNNNNNNNNNNNNNNNNNNNNNCAUCGUCCUCAUCAUCACCAACAACUCUCCCAUCUUGGGGAGGGUUAUCUCCAUCAACAUCUUCAACAACACCAUCUCAUCUCAAACCCUAGUUCAUCUCUUGUGUUCAAUCUUGUUACCGGAACUAUAGAUUGGUGCUUGUGGGUGACUGGUAGUGUUGAUUACAUCUUGUAGUUGAUUACUAUAUGGUUUAUUUGGUGGAAGAUUAUAUGUUCAGAUCCAUUAUGCUAUUUAAUACUCCUCUGAGCAUGAGCAUGUUUAUCAUUUGUGAGUAGUUACUUUCGUUCUUGAGGUUACGGGAGAAAUCAUGUUCCAAGUAAUCCUGUGAACUUCAUAUGUGUUCGAUAUUUUGAUAUUAUGUAUGUUGUGAUUCCCUUAGUGGUGCCAUAUUUGAACGUCGACUACAUGACACUUCACCAUAUUUGGGCCUAAGCGAAUGCAUUGUGGAGUAGCAAUUAGAUGAUGGGUUGCUAGAGUGACAGAAACUUAAAUCCCAGUUUAUGCGCUAUUCCGUAAGGGACCGAUUGGAUCCAAAAGUUUAAUGCUAUGGCUAGAAUUUAUUCAUAAUACUUUUCUCAUAGUUGCGGAUGCUUGCGGGAGGGUUAAUCAUAAGUAGGAGGUUUGUUCAAGUAAGAACAUCACCUAAGCACCGGUCCACCCACAUAUCAAAUUAUCAAAGUAGCGAACACAAAUCGAACCAACAUGACAAAAGUGACUAGAUGAAAAUCCCGUGUAGCCUCAAGAACGCUUUGCUUAUCAUAAGAGACCGUUUUGGCCUGUCCUUUUGCCUCAAAAGGAUUGGGAUACCUUGCUGCACUUUUGUCACUACUAUUGUUACUUGUUACAAAUUAUCUUGCUAUCAAACUACUUUGCUACUUACAAUUUCAGCACUUGCAAACAUUACCUUACUGAAAACUACUUGUCAUUUCCUUCUGCUCCUUGUUGGGUUUGACACUCUUACUUAUCGAAAAGAGCUAUAAUUGAUCCCCUAUACUUGUGGGUCAUCAUUACAACAUCCAAUCAUCCAUAUAAUCUCUGUGUUUCUUCUGUUUUCUACCAGUCAUAUUUCAUAUGUGCAUCAGAGGAAAAAUGCUUUCAGCGGGCAUGUUGGAGUGCACAUACCAAGUUCCCAGAUUGCAAAUAUGAUCCUGGGCUCCUAGCCAUUAAUAUGUUUAAUUCCACAUUUUCUUCAUCUAAUUUCUAAAUGACUAGACAACCUGUUAUACUCUUAUAGAAUUAUGAGCCGCCCAAACCAUGUUUCUCUUGGUCUAAUUUCUAAAUGAUAAUGUGCAACAUCUAUCUCCUUGUGAACCUUUUUUUUCUUCCGACUGUAUCCCCUGGUGAACCUAUCUUACGAUAAGAUUUUUUAGGGCAUUUUUUGAUGAUUUUUUCCUAUAGCCCUUAAAUAAAAUCAAAUAAAAUCAAGUGCAACUCACAGUAAGUUUUCUGCUCCUAGCUAGUUGUAAAGAACAAGUUCAAUUCAGUCUGAUUUAGUUCUUGACAUGACCGUGCUGCCAGCAACUCCUUUUCUCUAGCUAGCACAAUAAUUGUACUUGUUUGAUGUAAAGGACAUAAAUACAAAGAAAUAAAUUGGAAGCUUAUUUCAAAUUAACUAGCUAGUGGUGUUUGUGAAGUUCAAGAAAAAUCUAGUCUUUUUCUCGACAAAUAAGUUGACAUGCAAGGAAUCAAUGAAUGUAUUUGCAAGAAAGCAAACAUAAUUAUCGAUAAAAUUGGUUGUGAUUGUCACUAUAGACAAUGGUAGUAGCUAAUUGGAACUAGAUACAAACCAAUAAAAAACAAGAUCUCAAAUCUCCAACCAAUAAAGAGUUCAACCCAAAUUUUACAAUUACACUAUUAUAUUUAAAUAGUGAUUAUUGUAAUACAUGGCUAAUUAAUUAAUGCACUAGGUUGCGCUUGUGACCAGGCAAGACAAACUUAUGAACUUGCAUGCAUGGCAAUCAGAUCGACAUCCACACAAUGCCGAUAUGAACAUUUUCUUAAUACACCUUUAUUUGUAUUUUAUUUCAGAAUUUAAACAACUAGUUUGAGCGGGUCACACAUGACGUUGUGUGACACUUUAUUUGUCACCGCUACAUUGACAUAUCCAUCGACUAAACAACGGUGAUCCAACUAUAUAUUACUAGAGAUCUUUUCUUAUCAGUAGACACCAACUCCGAUGCCAACGCCUAAUGGCACACUAGUGGUGGUUUCGUACAACGGCACAUUGACACUGCACAUUGUUGGCAGGGUACGGAGUGCAAUGGAAGUCAUCACCUCAAGCUGAGCUAUCUGGUGUGGCUGCAAAAAGGUACCAUGUGCCAAUUGUUGUUGUUGAGGUUGUUGCCCGAGUUGCUGCUGCAACUGCUGUUGGGGUUGGGAGACACAUUGGCCCAACUGUUGGGGUUGUUGUUGCUGAUAUUGGAUGAUACUCUGACCC
rnacentral:lncRNA from 1 species